rnacentral:lncRNA from 1 species
GGAGAGGCUAACUACUCUAUGCUGGUUCCUACUUGUUAUACUAACUACUCAAAGUUCUAAAAAUUACAAAAGGUCCAUUUUUUUGGCUGGAACUAGAUAAACGAGUAUUUCACACUCUCUUGAUAUUAACAAAUAAAAAUUUGACUUCAAUAAUCUUUUUGACAAAUAAAAUUAGGUUUAAUUAUAUAGAUACACCUUUCAAGAUGAUCUCCAUAAUCAGUAAUCAAAUUCAAUCUAAAGGAAACGCGGGAAACUGGCCUUCCAUCCCCCUAUUUAGCUGUGGUGUCUUGGUUACAAUGUAUAAGGAGAAUUUUUUUCCCCCCCCCUUGAUGAUUUCAUCGUCAUCAACGAGCCCAUCGCCAUUUCUAUCGGCUUUCCCGAUGGCGUAUUCACUCUUCAUACCCUUAAACCAGCUCUCUCUUUUGGCGUCGCGAAAGGCAUCGUGGAGUUCCUUGCUGCUUAUCUUCCCAUCGUUGUUCUUGUCAUACUUCAUCAACCAUUCUUUGAACUGUUUCAAAUUCAUCCCUCCAUUUCCAGGAACUCUGACACCAUGAUUACUCACCAUCUCUUUGUGCGUCCUACCUUGUCAUGAGUCUUAUGACUUGUGACCUCCCUCAUAUUUAUAGUAUUAUCAUCCUACCUUGUUUUGCCUUCUUUUUGAGGGUUGGGGGUGGGGGGGGGGGGGGGGGGACAUUGAAGUACAACAAAUUCAUCUAGUAAUCACUAACAAGAGAAUUGUUGAACUAAAAUUCACACAUGAGGAAAUGAAAUCACUAACAUAAUAAUAUACUGGUGUUCCAUGUAGCUGAGGUUUUCGGGAAGAACAACAGCAACCCCCCAUUCCUGCAAUUAUUCGAUUUAACAACUCAAACCUUGCAAUGCUUUGUCCACAACUUUCUCCUCCCUGGCAUCAAGUAAGAUACUGCAAAAAUGAAAAGCAUAAAGAUUAUGCUUCAGAAGAAGCUGCUCUCUAUUUUCCAGAGUAAAAAAUAAAAAAAGAAAAGAAAAAGAAAAAAGGAAACUUGCAGGCACCAAGAUAGUAAGACAAAGGUAUCCAACUAGAAAACUGCAGAUUUUCUAAAAAAAGGAACCAUCUGGAUGAAAAUUUCACUCUAAACUCACCUCGAUGAAGUAAAAGAAUCAAAAUUAUAUUAACAUAUCAGGUUUUAAGGAAAAUCGAAAAUCAAGUUAAGAUGGUUUAAAUCACAACCUCAAAGCGAAAUUUGGAACCCUCUUCUCUUCUAUACCUCCAUCACUCUGUCUUAACCCAUUUUAUUUUCUUUUGAAGCAGUUUGUUUUCUAGAGCUUGGACUCUAAACUAGAUGUCCUUCUUUUUCAUUUCCCCUUAAUUCUAAUUCCUGAGAUGCUUAGACUCUUAGUCAAAAGAUAAGACAAAAGAAAGCACCCAAAGCAAUUAAAUAAGAAUAGUUUCUGCUAGGAAAAAACAAGAAGUACUUUCCAACUAAAGAAAACAUUUUCAUGGAACUAUCAUCUCUAUUCUUAUAAUCCUAUUUAAAUACAAAUAAUCUCUUCCAUGUAAAGAUUGAUUUGGGUUAAAUAUCCCAUCACCAAAGCAUUUAUUGCAAGUCAACAUGUCAGGGUUGAAAUCAACACGUUUAAGCAUAUGCUUUGGUACUCAUGAUUUAUUAAACAAUGUUUCACUAUCGAGUUUACCCAAAUUUAUACAUAUUUAUGUUUUUAUUUUAUAUCUGAUUUGAUUGAGAAGAACAAGUUAACAGAAGAAAAAGGGAAAAUUCAUUCAUGAUUAUAGUAAGUAGCUGCUAUUCAACUUAAAUCAAUUCAUUGCACAUCGAGUCACAAUUUAUGUACAUGAACCUAUUUCCCUUUAGCUUAAGUGACAAGAUAAUUUUUAUCCUUUGAUCUAGUCCACGAUACUCUCGUGUAAACAAUAUUACUACUGCGUUAAUUUGUUAACUUGGCUGCUAGCAGCUUCCUAUAAAACAUCCAUCAGUUUUCAGUUUUGUGCUAAGUUUCCUCUAAAUUCCCACUGAUAUCCUCGUUCUACCUGCUUUAUAUUCACAGCAGCACUAUUAUUUUACCAUAUUUAUUGUUUUUCUUCAAUUGUUCAUGUUCAAUUUUAACAAGGAUCGAAAGAGCGAGUGAAUUUUUCACCUUUGUCAACUAAAAGCGGCAAAACACACAAAAGCAUUUGAUGCUGCUAAUUCCUUUUAUUUGUGCAUGAAAAAGCAUUUGUAUGCAUUCUCUCAACCCAAUUCCCACAUCUUUCAAUGCAUAUCAUUCAAUUUAUCGUCGAGGUGUUAACUCUGAAAAGUGUGCAUAUCAACCUACAGUGCCGAUGUACAUACAUGAUGUAUACAUUUACAUAUAUGUUUAUAUCCUAUAUAUUAUGGUCAAGGUUUUCAUUUUCGAGAUUGGUUGACAUGUCAACAUCAACAUGAUUCUAGUGAUAUGAUGUCAUCAUUUUCUCUACUUUAAUCUUAAGAAUAAUAUAUUUACUUAUUAUAUAUGCGUAUAGAUAGUUUUUACACAUAUGGUUAUGGUUGAUUAAUGAACAUAAAGAGAGUUUAUUUCUCUCCCAGACUUGUAUCUCUCAACUACUUUCCAUUUUUAUUGUUGUAAGUGCAUAUAUACUAAUAUAUACAUUCGCCUGUAUUUAACGGCACUUGUUGAUUUCGAUAUGGGGUCAGCAAAACGACACAGUAACCAAAUUCUUAUAGGACCAUCCCUCAUGUGUUCAUAUCAUUCCCAACACUAAUAAUAAACAUACCAAGACUAAAAACUCCCAAAACGUUAUGACAUCAAAAACAGGCAACAAAUUUCAAAAUUCAUCCACAUAGGCAAAACAGUAGAUUUCCUCAAGAUUGUUAAGAACUAUCUAGUCUAACAGCUUAAGUGGUUAGAGAGAGGACACAUUCUAUUAUUUAAAUUUAGUCUUCAAUGUGCUUCCUCACGUGAGCUAUAUUCACUUUUUAUGAGUCAUUUGACUAGUCCACAAUUUUGAAUAUCAUUUAGUGCCGAGACUUGAACUGGGACUUAUAUAUGCUCUGAUAUUACGUUGAUAGGUAUGCAAAGAACUCAAAUUUUUUUUUUUUUUUUUAAGGGGCAAUCAUUCCAUUUCAACUAUAAGCACCAUAUCAAAGAGACCAUCAAGUGAAUGAGUGCCAACAAAAAAAAAUUCAGUUCCCACAUAAUUAAAAGAUAAACAAGAAACAUAAUAACUACCCAAAAUCUUGCAAAGCAUUGAGUUAAUACACGGUUGACAAAUAUGAAAUGAAUUCAACAAAACUUAAGAAAAUCUUAACGGCUUUCACAAAAUGCCCACAAAAACUAAAUUCAGUUUACAUCUCGAAAAUAACCCAUCAAAAGAAAACCGCAAAAUACCACGAAUAAACAUAAUUUCACCUGCGAAUUCUUGUUUGUUUAUCCGUCGGCUGGAUGAAAUAUGAUAAGGGUUUUGAGGGGCUGCAAUGGAGUAUGAAAAAAAGGAGGUUCCACUACAUUUCGUUAGUAUUUUUAUCUGAACUUUUUUUAAGAAAAGGAAAGCCUCCCUAAAAUGAAAGCCUAAGGUUGUGGACAGAAAAGCAGGUGUUUAAACUAGUCAAAAAAGGAAAAACGGAGAGCAAUUUGUGUCAGUUUUGAGGGCACGUAAAGCAUCUUUUUAGUCGUGGUUAAGAAUUUGUUUUUCUUUAUAAUUUUUCUUAAUAAAGACAAAAAAUAAAUUAUAGAUUUUCAGAUAAAACGAAAACUUGGCGUCGCCCGGACUCGAACCGGAGACCUUCAGUGUGUUAGACUGACGUGAUAACCAACUACACCACGACACCGGUUCUGUUAAGAAAGGUGACAUAUUUUUAUACUUAAAGAAGAAUUGAACACUACACCGACCCAUGAUGUCGGCCGGUUGGCUCCUACCCCGAUCUCGACCGGCCCCUGCAGCGGACAAGAAUAUUUUUUAAACAAAGAAUCACCAAUUACAAUAUUGAUUCUUUUUCCAUGUCACUACAAAUCAAUGAAAAUAAUAAUUUGAUUUUUGAUAUGUCAACGUCGCUAUCCAGUUUGUUUCUUUGGUUCUUUAUCGGAUAGCCUCCACGACACCCUACUCACCAAACCGGUCCAAUUCUCGCUGAACCAAUAAUUAGCAACUUUUAUUAGCUAAACUAUUACCAACUUUUAUUAGAUAUAUCAUAUAUGCCCUGUCCGAUCGGAUUAAAAUCAGAUUUUAGUAAAUUUUGAUAAAAGUUGUUAAAAUAUGUGAUUGAAAAAUUAUGAGUCCUAUAAAAUAUGUGAUUAAAAUUAAUUGUUGACUUUUACUUACAUUAAAAUCUGAAUUUUAAUUUGUACCAAACAUAUAUAUAACAAAUGGCACGAAAGAAAAUUCUUGCAUGUUUGGCUAAGCAUAAAAAUUUAUAUUACAAGAAAAUUUACUUAUAUAAGCAAAGAGUGCAUUUCUAUGAAGAAAUACCUUGUUUGUAGAGCAAUUCAAAAAAAUUUACAGCAUUUUUUAUUUUUAUUUUUUUCCAGUAUCGACAGUUUUCCUUCUUCUUCUUCUUCUAUUUUUUUUUUUUUUUUUUUUUUUUUUUGGCGGGGGGGGGGGGGGGGGAUCAUCAUAUGCACAAGAAAGUUCCUAAAUUAGUUUAAGAAACCUCCAAUUAUUCCUUAUCAUUAAAAUUUCUAUGUACCGUUUAAGUAUUCGUACAAAUCUACGUCCAUAUGGAUGUUGGUGGAAAGUUAUUUGAAUCAUGCCAUAUUCGAAGUGGUGAUUGUUGAGAAAAAUGUAGGGAAAUCUGAAAAUUUAAUGAAUUUCAAGGUACGAAAAACGUUAUCUUUUAAGAGAUGUUUCUUCCUUAUCCAACGAAGUCACAACUGGGGUAUGAUAGAAAAUUUCUCUCAGGAUACAAUUGAGGCGUUUGAUUCAAAUUGUGAUUAUUUGAUCAAACCAAAAAGGCACUUGAAAAAAAAAUACUAAUGAUGCCAAAAGAGAGAAGAAUAAUUUUUAUUUUUUUUAAUGAGUUUUGCAAACGAAAAUUCACUCAGAAUUUAUAGAAAUUGAGAUAACUGUUUGAAUAGGUGUAUCCCUUGAAAUGAAGAACACAUCUGUUGAAAAUAAUAGGUCGAUCCCCGUUGCGCAGCAGUAAAUACUAAUCCGGACGGCAAAUCAUUNNNNNNNNNNNNNNNNNNNNNNNNNNNNNNNNNNNNNNNNNNNNNNNNNNNNNNNNNNNNNNNNNNNNNNNNNNNNNNNNNNNNNNNNNNNNNNNNNNNNNNNNNNNNNNNNNNNNNNNNNNNNNNNNNNNNNNNNNNNNNNNNNNNNNNNNNNNNNNNNNNNNNNNNNNNNNNNNNNNNNNNNNNNNNNNNNNNNNNNNNNNNNNNNNNNNNNNNNNNNNNNNNNNNNNNNNNNNNNNNNNNNNNNNNNNNNNNNNNNNNNNNNNNNNNNNNNNNNNNNNNNNNNNNNNNNNNNNNNNNNNNNNNNNNNNNNNNNNNNNNNNNNNNNNNNNNNNNNNNNNNNNNNNNNNNNNNNNNNNNNNNNNNNNNNNNNNNNNNNNNNNNNNNNNNNNNNNNNNNNNNNNNNNNNNNNNNNNNNNNNNNNNNNNNNNNNNNNNNNNNNNNNNNNNNNNNNNNNNNNNNNNNNNNNNNNNNNNNNNNNNNNNNNNNNNNNNNNNNNNNNNNNNNNNNNNNNNNNNNNNNNNNNNNNNNNNNNNNNNNNNNNNNNNNNNNNNNNNNNNNNNNNNNNNNNNNNNNNNNNNNNNNNNNNNNNNNNNNNNNNNNNNNNNNNNNNNNNNNNNNNNNNNNNNNNNNNNNNNNNNNNNNNNNNNNNNNNNNNNNNNNNNNNNNNNNNNNNNNNNNNNNNNNNNNNNNNNNNNNNNNNNNNNNNNNNNNNNNNNNNNNNNNNNNNNNNNNNNNNNNNNNNNNNNNNNNNNNNNNNNNNNNNNNNNNNNNNNNNNNNNNNNNNNNNNNNNNNNNNNNNNNNNNNNNNNNNNNNNNNNNNNNNNNNNNNNNNNNNNNNNNNNNNNNNNNNNNNNNNNNNNNNNNNNNNNNNNNNNNNNNNNNNNNNNNNNNNNNNNNNNNNNNNNNNNNNNNNNNNNNNNNNNNNNNNNNNNNNNNNNNNNNNNNNNNNNNNNNNNNNNNNNNNNNNNNNNNNNNNNNNNNNNNNNNNNNNNNNNNNNNNNNNNNNNNNNNNNNNNNNNNNNNNNNNNNNNNNNNNNNNNNNNNNNNNNNNNNNNNNNNNNNNNNNNNNNNNNNNNNNNNNNNNNNNNNNNNNNNNNNNNNNNNNNNNNNNNNNNNNNNNNNNNNNNNNNNNNNNNNNNNNNNNNNNNNNNNNNNNNNNNNNNNNNNNNNNNNNNNNNNNNNNNNNNNNNNNNNNNNNNNNNNNNNNNNNNNNNNNNNNNNNNNNNNNNNNNNNNNNNNNNNNNNNNNNNNNNNNNNNNNNNNNNNNNNNNNNNNNNNNNNNNNNNNNNNNNNNNNNNNNNNNNNNNNNNNNNNNNNNNNNNNNNNNNNNNNNNNNNNNNNNNNNNNNNNNNNNNNNNNNNNNNNNNNNNNNNNNNNNNNNNNNNNNNNNNNNNNNNNNNNNNNNNNNNNNNNNNNNNNNNNNNNNNNNNNNNNNNNNNNNNNNNNNNNNNNNNNNNNNNNNNNNNNNNNNNNNNNNNNNNNNNNNNNNNNNNNNNNNNNNNNNNNNNNNNNNNNNNNNNNNNNNNNNNNNNNNNNNNNNNNNNNNNNNNNNNNNNNNNNNNNNNNNNNNNNNNNNNNNNNNNAAAAUAUCAAAAGAUGCCACAAAAUAGAGUUAACUAAAAUAGGAGAUUAUGUGAAAUUUGAAAAAUUCGCAUCCCAAAAUUGUGCUAUGCAACCACAUAUUACCAGUGCAUGCGGUCACGUAGGCAUGUCAUAUUCUUAGCUGGUUUCUCUGUAUGGGGGCAUGCUGUCUUAUGCCUUUUAUAACUAUGCAGUCACAUAAUUGUGAUUGAUAUUCCAUUCACCGUCACUUGAACAAGUAAUCCCAUGACAUAUUUGACUUUCUUGGCUCGUGACCUAGUCAAUGGCCUUUCGUCUAUAACCAACGGAUCCUUAUUCUUACUAGCUUUCGUAUCAUGGAUCUCAUCAGGGAAAUAAUGAUUUAAAUAUUUGUUUAAGAAAUAAAAAAUUUGCAAAUUUAAAUUUUAUGAUUGAACUUUGUAUUAAUUUAUUGGUUUAAGCUUAUAUUGAGAUAAAUAUGUUAUUAUUUUAACAUGUACGUAAUUAAAGAAAGUUUCAAUAUAAGUAUUGUAUUGAGAUUUCAAAUCAAUUUAUUUCUUUUAUUUUUCAUUUACUUGGAAGAUGUUAUAAUUAUGUUGCUAAAACUGUGUUUGUACCAAAUCAGAAUUCAAAAUGGGGUUUCGUUUGGUUUUGGUUUAAAAAAAUGAAAUGGUUUGGUAUGAUUUAAUUUUUUAUUUUCGAAUCUUUUAAAAAUGGUUUGAUUUUAAUUCAAAACCAUCUAAAUCAACCGUGAACACUUCCAAUGGCACGUUACAAAUUGAUAAAAUUUGAAACUAAAUGUUUACUAAAAUGAAGUUAAGUGAUAUAAUUAUACCGUUUAAAAUAUAGCUGAAUUUUUAAAGAUUUUUAGAGUUUUUUAAUUAAAUAACUUUUGUAGGGUUCAAUGAAUUUUUAGCUUUUUUAAAGUCAUUUACAGAUUUUAUAGAAUGCAUUUGAUUUUUACAAACUCUCAUUUUAGAAAAAAACAAAUCUUGUAUAAGACUUAUUGCUCAUCUUCUUGAACUGCUACUUGCAUGACAAAAUUAUCAACAACACAAUAACGAAAUUAUUUUUUUUCAUGUCAAUAAAAAUAUUUUUAAAAAAUAUAAAAAUAUAUAAGUUGCAAAAAAAAAAAUAUAAUAUUUCAAUACUCUCUGAUGAAAUGAAAAAAGAAAUCUCUAAUAUUCGAUAUUAUCAAUGUUCAAACUCGUACAAAGUUACUAAAUUAAACAUGCAAUCAACAUAUAAAGAUUUAAUUAUAAAUUAAUUUACUUUUUUAUAAAAUCUUCAUUAAAAACUCAUAUUCCUUUUUAGAAAAAUUGGAGGAAAACAUUGAAAAAGAAAAGAGUGAAAAAUCUUAUAAGAAUUUUAUUUAAAAAUCGACCUAUUUUAUAGACAAUGGAGAAAAUGAUGAAAAGAAGAAAGAUAUUAAAAGAAAAAGAUUAUAUAAAGAGGAUGAUAAUGAUAAUGAUAAUGAUAAUAGAUAUGAUUGAAUACACUUAGAGUGUGUUUGAUUGGCAUGGAAAAUAUCACCUAGAAAAGAAAAUAUUUUCCAUCUUUUGUGGAAAAUAAAAACCACCUCUAUCCAAGGAAAAUGUUUUCCUUAAAAACAAGGAAAAUUAGGCAUAUUUUCAAAAGUUGGAAAAUAUUUUCCAUGGAAAAAAAAUAGCAAUCAAACACUCUAAGUAGGAAUUUGGGUGAAAAUUUGAUAUUUUCCAUGGAAAAUAAAUGUAAUCAAACACACCCUUAGACUUUUUAAAUCUAAAAAAAAUUAUCAAGUCUAGAUUGAAUACACAAUGACCAUAUUUCAUACUCAACCAAACCCUUCAAAAUUUCGAAGAUGUAUGCUUAAAUACCUCAUACCUAGGGGAGAAAGAGCGAAGGAGAUAUGAACUGCACCUUCAAGAGUGCGUGAUGCCAAUGUCAUUGUUGCUGUCAUUGUUGGGAGAGGGUUUUAGCAUCUUGUUUUUGCAUUUCUCAGUGUAUAGAGAAUGAAAAAUAGCAAAUUUUCUAUAGAUAAUUAUAUUAACACCACAAUUAUUAUUUAUUGUAAUGCAUUUUAAUUGUACUUGAGGUUCUUAAUCUUUGUUCAUUAUAACACUUAUAUUCUUAACGAUUUUUCAUGUCAUUUUUAUUCUCAAACUUUCUAUUAGUUAACACGUUUUGUAUUCGAUAAUAGUUUUAUGUCCAAAAGUUUGUUGAAAUGAUGUAAAACAACUUAUCUUCCCAUCAUAUUUUAAUAAAUAAAUAAUAAGUAUGAAAAAUAUUUUUUUCCUUGUUUAAAGCAUAAAAAUGAAUUAUUUUGAUAUAAGUCAUCAUCGAAGACGAGAUGUACUAAUUAAUUUGGAGGUUGAAGAUUAGAAUUAGACGAAAAAAAGUUAAGAAAAUAAUAACAAAGAUUGAAGAGUUUAACUGCAAUUAAAAUGUGGAGUAACAAAUAAAAAUUGUGGUAUCAUUAUAACCGCUUUUUUUUUUUUUUUUUGCCUUUUUAGAACAUUUUUAUACUUUUUUAAUAUCCAAAUAUACCCUUACAAAAAAAAAUAAUAAUAAGAAACUCAAAAUUGGACAAAUGAGUGAUUGGAUACCAACAUCCUCAUUGUGUGAGACCACCUCAUAUAUACACCCUUAAGACUUUUGACUGUUUCUUGAAAUCUUAUUCAAGUGUUGCUAGUUUAGUAUGUUACUAAUGACUAUGGUUGAUUUGGUUUGAUGGAACAUUUCUACGAACAACUGAUUUAAAGUUGAACAAUUCAAGUAGGAAAUAAAAACUAUUUUGACCAAUAUUUUUAUUUUUAUUCACCGAUCAGGUAAUUGGUUUUUAACCUUUUAAGGUAUGGAACAUAAUUGUGAAUACAAUGAUAUCAUGUGGGCUUCAAGUAUGUUCCAUAAAUACUCGAUGGAUCGAAAAUACUUGGAUUAAUGUUGAGAAAUAAGUUUGGGGUUAUAGCAAAAUGUAAUGUUCCUCUAGUAAAGUGACUAUGUAUCCCUAGCAGAUUUAUGAUACUCAAUGGUGAAUCCAGGGUCCAAUGUCAAUUAGGGCAGACUGUUGAUCUUGGAGCGAAUUGUUAACCAUUGACAUGUGACCGUUGACAAUCAAAGAUCAUAAUAACGAGUUUAUUUAUUAAUAUUUAAUUAAAUAAUAUUAAAACUUCUUCGAUUUUCAUCUAAACGCACCAAAACAUAAAAAUUAUAUACAUGUGAAAAUAUAGUUCAAUACAACUUAAAGUACUAAAAAAAUACACGAUAUAACCUUAUUUUGUAAAUGUGAACUUAAACAACUGCAUUAUACGGAGUCUCAUAUUUUGAAAAGUUAAAAGUUACCUUUCCAUUACAAUCAAAGUUGUGUAUUUUGAAGAUAACUGAGACAACUUUACUAAAUUAAUAAAUUGAUCCAAUAUUUGUCGAGCUCUCACAUCAAAUUGUUGAAUUUCAAACAUCAAGAAAAUAGAAUUUAAUUGAUGAAAUGAAUUUUACACAAUUUGAACACAAACUUACACUUAUUUUAUUUGUAGGACGCCACUCUCACUAUCUUAAUUCGCUCUAAUAUUAUUAUGGCAGAUUCUCUUCACUAACAUUACAUCCUCAGCUUCUUUCUAUGAUCCACUCUCUAUCUCUCCUCACUUUUCUUCCUACUCUCUUCACACUCCCACAUACUUUUAUGCUCGCACAAAAUUCAAGCAGCAAGGAUAUAUAUAGAUUUAAAGGUCGGUGGCCAAUUCUUCUACCUAAUUCUAGUAUGUCGGUGAAGGCGACUGCAUUCUAGAGUAAUCAUUUGAUGGCAGUGGACUUUGAUUCCAACAAUUAAUGAUUACUAGAAUAUUCUCCAACUUUUUGGUAAAGGUGAAGCUUGUUGUUAAUCCCAAAAAAUUUCAUUCUAGAAUAUGAAUGAAGAAAUUUUAUAUUCAAGUUGGUGAUGUCUUCUUCAGUAUUGAGAAACAGCAUAUGCUAAAUUAUUUACAUUUAAGUAUUUGCAGGUCAAUAGGAGCACAAAUUGGAAUAAAGUCAAUACAUUAGAAGAAUAAAGCACAUAAACUUCGCAAGAAAUAAGGAAGAAUAGGCCAAAGAACUAUAAUCGAUGAGAAUGCAUAGAAUGAUGGGAAAAAAUAUAUAUCAUAUUUCAGGUGUAUUGUUUACACCAAUUCAAAAGAGAGGUUUGCCUUCGUUAGUAGGGUUUGCCCUUCGUUAAUUUGGAAAUAGUUGGAUUGGAAAUUUAGGAUAUGGAUUUGUAACUUGAUUUCAAUUCAACGGACUGAAUGCACUUAAUUGGAUUUGGGCCUAAUUUAAAAAAAACAAUAGGCUAGAAAAAAGGCCCAAGCUUAAAACAAAAGGUCAACCCACUAGGACUCUAACCUUUCUCCCUUCUCCCACUGACCAGCCGCCUACAAUUCAAUCUUCAAACUUCAAUCCUCCUCUCGAUGGUAAUUGCAACUUCGGUGGAUCCAACACGCGCAGUUACGAUCCCUCGUCGAGUGCUGGACCGUCCCUGAUGGUAUUGUAAGCUCUAAUAUUACUCGUUGAUCGCACGAUUUAUUUAUCGUAUGAAUUCUUGUGAAAUAGACCUCAAGAAGGAUCUAACGUGUGAUAUUCGUUAUUACUUGUGAUUCGGGUUAAACCCAUCAUGUACGAGUGAGAGAUGUUGAAAAAUAUGGGUUGUGGGUCACUUCCAUGAUUUUACAUCACUCCCAUUAUUUUUGUCUUGUACUUUUUUUUAUCUUUUGAGAGAGAGAAAAUAUGAUGAUAAAAUGUGUGAAAUUUGUAUGGAAAAAUGCCCAUAAAUUGAAAAGUGCCUAGAACCAUAUGUAUGAUAUUAAAACUAACAAAAAUUGACACUUAAAAUGUGGAUAAUAAUUUAAUUCCAUUGUGAUUGGGAAUGAGAUCAUUGGAAUGCUAGGAAAUGCAGAAUUUUUGCUGCGAAUUAUUACAGUACCAAUGGGAGGAGAGUCGAUAGCUUUUAAAAGUUAGGAUCAAUUGAAGAAAUUGCCGUUGGAACGUGUUUGACUGUCGUAGGAAGGGACGAUCCUGGAACAUUUUGGCUCUACUGUCGAAGUUAUGAGAUGAUGAUGGAAGGCAGUAUUACUAGUGGGCUAAAACUAGUUAUUAGGGAUAAAGUCUUGAUGUUAAGGCCCACGGGUUUGGGCCAUAUUAUGAAGUUGGCCCAACAUGUGGAUCUCAGGAAGAAACUGAUGAAGCAGACCCAAAUAAGUUAUAGACCAAACAAAAAUAAAAAUAAUUUUCUUAGUCCAAACUUUUUUAAUGGCCCAUCCUUGUACCCAUAUCUAUCCACAUCUAAUACUUACUCAAAUAUCUUAAUCCACUCAAUACAAACCAUCCACUCAAAAACCAAUGCUGUUACCGUUCUUCGACCAAUGAUAGUGAUGAGGAGAAUUCCUUUUGUAGGUCCAACUAUUUAUGGAAUUUGUAUGGAUAACAUUUUAAUUGUAGUUGGUCGACUGACUACACGGAUUAAUAGCUACAACAAGCUUACUUCAAAAAUGGUUCAGCUAUAUGAAAUUCAGAAUUUUGAAGUUGAACCACACUUUCACCUUGAGGAUAAGAUGAAUUUCGGGGCAGUUGGUAAUGAUAGAUAUACAAUAAGGUUGAAAUGAUACAACCAAUAUUGAAGCAACCAAGUCAUCAACUAUUCUAAAGCGUUCUACAUAAUUAGAUGGAGGAACGGUAAAAGGGCAAUAGAAAUAAAUAAGAAGCCUGGAUUUGGGAGAUCCAUUCAUUUAGUCAGUUGUUAAGAAAAAAGUGCGUGAUCGAGCUACUCGAAUAGCUUGAGAUUUGUCAUUACUUGCUGUGAAAUAUCAAUACAAUAUUGAGGUUACAUUUGUUCUUGCUUUACAGAUAAUUGCGUUAAUCUAUCCCGACUACAUCUCAUUUUCACAAUUUUCAUACUGCAUUAAGACCUCAAAUCCUAUUGUCACGACUCCUGAUUCAUAGUAGGAGGCCACAAUUUCAGUACCAGAGUCUACAGUAACCCCAGGUUCUUCCAGCAGUGGCAACCAUCAUCAACAAGAGAUCAGAACCUCUUCAGCAGUACAACAGCAACUCAGGGUGCUAUCAAGACCCCAUUAUAUAGUUGGUCAAGGGAUGAAAUCUGUUGGAUAAACUACACUCGCGGUUCCCAAUUAUUCACACCUCUACUCUUAAAUGAUCUUUUUCUUGGCAUUAAGCUCAUCAAACUUUCAUUAACACGCAAAUGGUUACUGCCUAAAAUGACUUUGUAAUUGAAAGCUAGCUUCCACAAAAUUCUAUAUUAUAUUCCAAUACAGCAUGCUGAUUCUUGAAUUGUCAUGGUCUGGUAUCUUUGCUGUAGUGGUUAUUGAAAGAAGAUAUAUGCAUAGAUGGGUUGGUGGGGAUGCAGGUGGGGGGUCGCAUUGGUCAGCAAUGCAAGAUAAAGCUUCACAGUUGUAGGUUGGAAUGUGCUGCAGGUAGGGGUGGCAAUCGACUAAAUUGAACCGAUCGGCUCGGUCGCUCGGCUCGUAAAAAGGCGGUUCGCGGGCGGCUCUGGCUCGUAUGUGGAUGAUAUCUAUGAGUUUAUACCUGUUAGUUGGGUUUCUUGAAAAUGGUAUUUCAAUUAUUCCAUUGAAUACAAAGUCAGAGAUUACAAUUUAUAGCGUAAAAAACAAGUAAUAAAGGAAACUAAUUAUACACAAAAUCAGCCUACUAAUUAUCCUUGACUUAAGGGAUUCUUACAACUAUACAAUCACUAAUUUUAAGCAAAGAAUUUCAACACUCCCCCUCAAAUUGGUGCAUAGAUGUCACACAUGCCCAACUUGUCUAAGAACUUUGAGAACACUCGAUUGAGGUUGCUUUGGUAAGAAUGUCAGCCAAUUGGUCUUCAGAUCGAACCUUAGGCAAUUCAACAAUUUUUUCAUCCAACUUUUCCUUAAUGAAGAAUCGGUCCACCUCGACGUGCUUCGUGCGAUCAUGUUGAACUGGGUCAUGAGCAAUAUCACACGCUGCUUUAUUGUCACAAUAAAUUCGAACCGGUUGUCUAGAUUGCUAACCCAAAUCUUGCAAGAGAAGUUUUAACCACAAAGCAUCACAGAGUCCAAGAGCUAUACCUCUGAAUUCAGCUUCUGCACUUGAACGAGCAACAACAUUCUGUUUCUUGCUUCUCCAUGUAACUAGGUUACCACCUACGAAAGUAAAGUAACCACAAGUAGAUUGCCUAUCAUACGGCAAGUAGAUUGCCUAUCAUCUAUGGCCCCAGCCUAAUCAGCAUCAGUUUAUACAGCUAUGCUUUGAAAUUCUCCAUUUUUAGUAGACAAAAUUCCUUUUCCAGGACUAGCCUUCAGGUACCUUAAAAUUCGAAUCACUGCCAUAUGUUGUUCUCUAGGAUUGUGCAUAAAUUGACUAACAAUACUCAAUGCGUAGGCCAAAUCUGGUCUUGUGUGUGCUAGGUACAUCAAUCUUCCUACAAGUCUUUGGUAUCUUCCUUUAUUAGCCGGUAUUUGGUUGGACUUUGCACACAACUUCAAUCCUUCUUCUACUGGUGUAUCUACUGGUUGACAUGUUGACAUACCAGUUUCUUGCAAUAGAUCUAAAGCAUAUUUUCUUUGAGAUAAAAAAAUUCCUUGAUUAGAACGACUUAGGGUCCACAUAUUUCUUGCCGGAUUGGAUGGUAAUUUUGAACAAGUUCAUGGAGAGAUUCUACGCAAAGAACAAGUUCUAGAUUUAGAAGAAUGUUACUCUUUGGUUCGGAAAGAAGCUGUCCGUCAGGCACCUUUAGGAGAUUCCAAAAAUUCAGAAGCUUCCGCCAUGAUGAUUCGAAAUCGUUCUACUCAAAAUUGGCAAGAUAAAACAGCGCCCAACCAUCCUAAGACCACGACUAGGGUUGACAAGACCACCUACAAAUGUUCUCACUGCAAUCAGACAGGACAUACAAAAAGCCGUUGUUUUAAACUUGUAGGAUAUCUUAAAUGGUGGGAUCAUAGUCGUGCUCCACGAAAGAAAAAUUCUAAGAAUACCUCCACUGCAGCAGUUGUAGAAGCAAAGCCAGAAGAUGAUGUCGUUGAAAAGGCCUCGGCAUUGGUCGCAACUGCAAAUAAUGGUGGUAAGGUUUUGAGUAUUUUUACACCUGUUUCUAAUAGUGCAUGGAUAAUUGAUUCUAGUGCUACAAAUCAUAUGAUUUUUUAUUCUAGACAGGUCUCCACCUUAAAUCCGUCGUUACAAAAAUUUAUAUCAACUGCUAAUGGUACUUAAACCCCUGUUAUUGGGGAAGGAUCUUUGACUCUCACUGAUACUCUGAGUUUAGAUUCUGUUCUAGUUUUUCCAUCUCUAGAUUAUAAUCUUUUAUCAAUUUCUCAAAUAACCACUGCUUUAUCGUGUGUCAUAAUUUUUGGGCCUAACUUUUGUGUUUUUAAGGACAUCUAAACAAGGCAAACGGUUGGUUAUGGUAUUAAAAGGGGAAAGUUAUAUUACUUGGACUUGGUGCCUUCGACCUCAAAUGGGUUACGUCAAGUUUUGACAGUGAAUUGCUCUGAGGGGGAGAAGAAGAAAUCUGAGAUUUGGUUAUGGCAUCGACGCAUGAGGCAUGCUUCAUUUGGUUAUCUAAAAAAAUUGUUUCCUAGUUUAUUUACAAAAUUUGAUGUUUCUAGUUUUCGAUUUGAUGUUUGUGAACUGGCAAAGAGCCAUCGAACUUCAUUUCCGUUAAGUUUGAAUAAAAGUACACGUCCUUUUAUGGUCAUACAUUCUGAUGUCUGGGGUCCAUCUAAAGUGGCCACGUUAGGAGGGUCACGUUGGUUUGUUACUUUCAUUGAUGAUUGUACCAGGAUGACCUGGUUGUACUUGAUGACGUCCAAAGGAGAAGUAAACUCAUUAUUUCAAAAGUUUCAUAAAGUGGUUAAAAUGCAGUAAAAUGCACAAGUUCAAGUUUUCCGUAGUGACAAUGGUGGAGAAUACCAGGUCUUACAACUUCAACAGUACUUGGAAACACACGAAAUUAUUCAUCAAACUACAUGUUCCAAUACACCACAACAAAAUGGGGCUGCGGAAUGAAAAAAUCGACAUUUGUUGGAAGUUGUUCGUGCUUCACUGAUAGAAGCCCAUAUGUCAUUAUCCUAUUGGGGAGAAGCACUUAGCUCUGCAGCAUAUUUAAUUAAGCGAGUACCCUCCAACUCCGUUAACUUUCAAACACCUCUCCAAGCUCUUUGUGUUGCAGUUGAUGCCCCAAUAGUCCCAAACUUACCACCUCAUAUAUUUGGUUGUGUAGCAUUUGUACAUCUCUAUAAACAUCAAUGGAAUAAGUUGACUUCUCAAGCAUUGCGAUGUGUUUUUGUAGGGUAUGCUACCAAUAAAAAGGGAUAUCGAUGUUUUCACCCUCCAACUCGACGAAUGUUUAUCACAAUGGACGUUAUUUUUCAUAAAGAGUCAAUGUAUUUCUCCUUCGAUCCUGAACUUCAGGGGGAGUCUCAUAGGGAAAUUGAGACUCUAAAUGAUACUUUUGUGGAAUACAAUCAAGAAGUUGAUGAUGAAAUUCAGACUCUAAAUGAUACUUUUGUGGAAUACAAUCAAGAAGUCGGUGACUUGGACUCAAGUGGUAUAAACUUAGAUCAGUGUGGUGAUGAAUGUCCAGAAGUUGAAGACGUAACCCCAAUUUCAUCGAAAUUCGAAACUGAUAUACCCAAUCCAUCGCCUGCUGAGGAUGUUCCUAAGUCAAUGGUCUAGCCACUUAGAAAACAUUUACCUGAACGUCAAACCAGAGGUAUUCCUAAACCCACAUAUGAACCCGAACUUUCUAGUAAAAUUAAGUAUCCAAUGAGUCAUUAUGUGUCUCACCAUAGAUUGUCUGAAUCAACUAAGUCAUUUGUAAAUCAAUUAUCUACUGUAUCUAUUUCUAACAGUGUGCAGGAAGCCUUAGCCGAUCCUAGGUGGAAAGCAGCUAUGAAUGAGGAAAUGAAAUCUUUACAAAAGAAUGAAACUUGGGAACUCAUUGAUCCAGUACCAGGAAAUAAAACAGUUGGAUGUCGAUGGAUUUACACUGUAAAGUACAAUGUUGAUGGUACAGUUGAACGCUAUAAAGCAAGAUUGGUGGCAAAAGGUUAUACUCAAACCUAUGGGAUUGAUUAUACUGAGACAUUUGCACCGGUAGCCAAAAUUAACACAAUUCGAGUCUUGUUAUCUUUAGCUGCGAACUUGGAUUGGCCAUUACAACAAUACGACGUAAAAAAAUGCAUUCUUGCAUGGUGAAUUGUCUGAAGAAGUCUACAUGGAUCUUCUACCUGGGUAUAUGAUACCAGAAAGGUCAAGUCAAAAAGUAUGCAAGUUAAAAAAAUCAUUGUAUGGGCUGAAACAAUCUCCAAGAGCAUGGUUUGGAAGGUUCACUAAGUCUAUGAGAGCCUUUGGCUAUCAUCAGAGCAACUUAGACCAUACUUUAUUCUUAAAGGAACGACGGGAUAAGAUUACUGCACUUAUUUUAUAUGUGGAUGACAUGGUGGUUACAGGAAAUGAUUCUGAAGAGAGGAAAGCUCUACUAAACUACUUAUCUAGAGAUUUCGAAAUGAAAGAUCUAAGUCAAUUGAAAUAUUUUCUUGGCAUAGAAGUUUCUCUCUUUCAGCAAUAUGCAUCUCCAUCAGUUGGGACCAAACAUCAUAAUUUGAUUCCGUUAAAAUGAUGCCUGCGUUAAAAACACCUUCAGGUUGAACAAUAACAGGAACCGAUUUAGACCCAGAUGAUUCAGUAAUUUUUUCACUCAUCUUGAAUGAUAAUAGGGAUAAUAACGAAUUUGAUUUAAAAAAAAAAAAAGGUUCAAGAGACACAAUGGUUAUUUGUGCAAUAAAGGUAUGUGGUGUAAUAUAAAAGUGGAUAAAUAUGAGAAAUGGUGUUUCGGUGUGUUGUCUUCUAUAAGGAUAGUAGCUGAUUCAAAUCCAAAAUAAAUGGAUAAAGAAGUAACAUAUAGGUUGGUAUGGGAACCAAAUUCUUCACGCCAACACAGUGGAUUUGCAGAAAUUUUGAUGUCUUGGGAAUGUCAAAAUUUGAUAUGGUGACGGCAAAUUCGUAACAAUCUCGUUCAGGUUUCAAUUUUGAAAAAAAUUGAGGGCAAUUUUUUUUUCUGGAUUUUUUCAAUGUUUCAGGGAUUCAAGCUUUUGAAUUUCUUUUCAAGAUUCAAUGAGGAGUGGCUCUGAUACCAUUUUGAAAAUAGUAUUUCAAUUAUUCCAUUGAAUACAAAGUCAGAGAUUACAAUUUAUAGCGUUAAAAACAAGCAAUAAAGGAAACUAAUUAUACACAAAAUCAGCCUACUAAUUAUCCUUGACUAAAGGGAUUCUUACAACUAUACAAUCACUAAUUUUAAGCAAAGAAUCUCAACAGUAACGAUACUUCCACAACAGAGAAAUUUAGGAGAGGCGACGUGUGUAAAUAAAGGGAAACUGGAAUAUUCAAAGCAAGAAUACAUACAGGAAAAUGCUUUAUAAUUCUCACCGGUUCAUAUAUAUGUCACAAAAAUAAAAAAUUGAGAAGUUUUACAAGAUCAUAAGCAGAAAAUUAAAGAUUCAGUGUAAUCAAAGUUUGGUAUCACUGCAGGAAAUAUAUAUUUUGGCAUAAGAAAAAACAAAUUUUCAAUUUUCCUUCUAAUAUACCAAACAUUCAAUUAACUCAAAGUAUAACAACGAUAAAUACUUCAUACUCAAAUAAAUCCAUUCAAUUCAGUUUUUUUUUAAUAAAAAAAUCACAUUUAGUGCUGAACCAAUUUCCCUCCUCCCAAAACUGUCAAACUCGGGUGCUCAACACGACGCAGAAAGCAUGGAAAAUGGAAUCAUAUACGCUAUUCAAUUUUAUUUUAUGAUAAUUAAAUGCAGAAAUGCCAUCUUCGUAGCACCAAUUUAAAAAAUUAUAUUUUUGUGGAAUGCUAUUUAGCACUGAAAAUGUUACGUAGGAUGAUGCUCCAACACCACUUGUAAUAUAUAUCAUUAUUCUAUAUUGUUAUUUUUCACAUUUUAAAAGGAGGUUAUUAUUAUAAUAUUCACGCAUGAGUAAAUUUUACUACUCCCUCGUCACAUUUAUUGAUAGUUUAUAAUAUUUACUAAUAUAUCCCUUCUUUAAAUAAUAGUUCAAAUAAGAGUAGUUCAUAUUUAUUGAUAAUAAGACACAUUAAAUAGGGACAUAUUUGAAAAUCAAGAAAUUAAUUAUAAUCUCGACAAGAAAAGUAGCCUAUAAUUCAGGACUAAUGAAAAAGAAAAGCAAAACGAUAUUUAUAAAAUGAAUAUAGUAUUUUAAAGAAUAAAAAAUAUGCAGGAAUUGAAAUUACGUCGCAUUCAGCGUAGAUAGGUUUGAUGCUUGUAUUGUAUGAUGGUUAAAUUUCGUCCAGUCACUGAAUUUUCAUAGAAAUCUUAACUGGGUAACUAAACUUGUUGUAUGGUUAUAAUCUCUUUAACUGAAUUACUUGUAGUAUGACUAUAAAUUAAGAACUUUCAUCAAUUUGAGGAUGUCAUGUGAUGGAUUCAUGAAAUUUGAAACUAAAAUAAAGUGAUGGUUUAUUCAAUUCAAAAUUUACGGUGCAUUUGGUUUGUUGUUUUCAAUUUUGCAAAACACUAAAAAUGAGUUUGUUUCAAUAUUUUUAGAAAUAAAUUUUCAAAAUCAAAGAUAAAUUUAUAACAUAAAACUCAAAAUGUAUUUUUGAAUUUUUUAGUAUUUUUUGUGAAAAUUCUGAAAACACUCAAACUAUGAAAAAAAAAAGAGUUUAAAUAAUAUUUUAUUUAAAUAAAAUUUUGACAAUUGAAAAUUAAAUUAUAAAACUUCUAAAAAAAUUAAAAUUCUGAAAAGUUAAUCAAUAAAAAAUUAAAUUAGUUCAAGCUCUUAAUGAUUAAUUACAUAAAAUUCUAAAAAUAUAUUCAUGUGAACACAGAUAAAAAUGUCUUUAGCCCACUUCAUUAAUUUUUAUUUUUAUUUCAUAGAGAGAAAAAAUAAUGUAAGAUUCACCAACUUUGAAAUGUAAUGUUACACACUAAUAUAUUAACAUAAAACUUGUAGUAUGGUUAUAAUCUCGGCAAGAAAAGUAACCUAUAAUUGAGAACUGAUGAAAAAGAAAAGUGUUGACAUAUAAAAAUUCAGCCCAAAUCAAACAGUCCAAGGAAUGAAGCCCAAUUGGAGGAUCCCCAAAUCAGAUAGCCCAAAGAACGAAACCCAAUCAAACAAUUCAAGAUGAAGACCCAAAUAGGGAGGCCCAAGAACGCGGUAACGCCAUCGCCCAAGUUUGCAAGUCGCCCAGAAUCUGAGCGAAUGGAGUGCCAUGCAGUCGCCCAGAGCUGUUACUCUAUUCUCGCACAAACCUUCAAAUCGCCCAAGGUCUUAACAAACAUAAAGCGUUGUGGUUAUCAAGAAGUGCAGUUAUCAAAGCAAUUAUUAAAGCAGCCCUAUCACGUUCCACGAUUCAAGAAAUUCAAUCGAAAACGGUUGAACGGCGAAGAGUAAUGACAGCAGUUAAAAAAGGCAGUUUUCAUGAUAAGCUGGUCAUUACGAGGAAAGUGGGCAGUUGUAGAACGAUCAAGCAGUUUUUAGGCGGUUGAUCACAAAAAAGAUCAUCCAUGAAGUAUAAAAGGGAGAAAAGACAUAGAGCAAAAGAUCGAAUCAAAAACUCUCGAACAGAGAACAUGUAAUUUUAAUUUCUUUAGUUUAGACUUAAACAAUUUUUUCAGUAACUCGUGUGCUUGCGCCCCUUGGAGGCAUUUUGUUUUUGAUUUUCAAUUAUAAAGUCAUCGCUAAUAAAAGAACACCCCUUUUUGGGACUUUGUCUCAAGAGGUUUGUCCCUUACACAAUCGUCUGAUCCCUUUUAAUUGUUAGCGACUAACCCGCGCGAAACAAUUUGACACGCCCAGUGGGACCGUGGUGUUUGGUGUUGAACGUACAAAAGGUGAAACAAUAUGCCUCAGAGAUCCGAUAAGGAAGCAGCAAGUCAGGGAGGAAUCCAGUCCGUGAUCGAGCGAUAUGAGGAGCAGCAUGCCUCUCCACGAACAGAUGGACAGAAUCAGAGUAGUAACAGUCAUUACGAACCAAUAACGGAGUUGAGUCCUCGAACCAUGCGUGCAUUACUUGGAGAACUCACACAAGACGUUGUUGAACAGGUAAAUCUUUGAAGUAUUCAUAAUAUGGAAAGAUUUACUCAAAAUGGGAAUGCACACUAUGACAACAUGGCCAAACAACUAAACACUUUGAACGAAACAAUGAAUAAGUUAGUAGGCCAAAUAUGUCAACCGGUUAUACCUUUUGCAAAUCACUUUCAAACUAGGACAAUUGUGGGACAUAAUCCCUCAGUCCUAAAUCCGAAUCAAGGGAUAGAACUAUUUUCUGGUCCCUCUACUUCAAACUAAGGGGUACUGCAGUGCCAAAUCAGAACAAUGGUAGUGGUACGCCUAACUUGGGGGUAAUCCAAACAUAAGAGAUAAUGUCCUAAACAAUGGACAGAAUAACCCACGUGUUAAUGAGGAAAUAGAUGUUCAGGCUAAUGGUAAUGACCCUAAUCAUGGUAACUUUGUUGUCAAUCAAAGACCAAACAUCAGGCCUCAUGCAAAUCAACUGGUUAGCCAGCCUGUAGGAAUUCCAUAUGAUCCCAACGUCAUGUUGAAGAAUCAGAUUAUGAAAAUCGUACAGGAUCAGAUGGCUUUUGGGGUGCGUCCCGUCAUUAGGCCGACGUACACAAAGCCAUAUCCUGAUUGGGUAGACCAAGCAUAUCCAUGGCCUAGAGGGUACAAAGUGCCAGAAUUCUCACUGUUUACUGAUUUAGGAGAGGUGUCUACUUUAGAACACAUAGGGCGAUUCACAUUGCAAAGUGGUGAUGUAACCGAUUACCAUAAAAUGAGGCUUUUCCCUAGUUCGUUAAUAGGAGUAGCUUUCUCCUGGUUCAUCAACUUGCCAGCGAACUUUGUUCAAACAUGGCAACAAUUGGAACAGUUAUUUCACGCUCAAUUUUAUAAAACUGAGUCUGAAGUCACUUUGGCUAAUUUGACGAAUCUACGUCAAAUACCAAACGAAUGGGCAGAAAGUUUUCUCCAAAGGUUCAAGACAGCAAGAAGCAAGUAUUUUGUACCUCUGCCCGAAAAAGAAUUUGUCAAAAUCGCUCAGGGCUGCUUGAGCUUUGAUUUAAAAAAGAAAUUCCAGGACAAGGAAUUUUCUGUCCUUUUCCAAUUGAGUGCGAAUGUGAUUAGGUAUGAAGGACUGAUAAGAGAAGAAGAACAAAUGAAAAAUUCUAGUAAAGAGACUUAUUACAAAGACCCAAAUUUUGAUGUUCAUACCAUCAGUGACGAGUCAUACGACCAGGCCGAAAUGUGUUUGGUCGAAUUGGUCAAAGGAGAUACGUAUACGUGUCCCAUAAUGGCCAAGCCUAGACCAUCGGGCAAAGAUGAGACCAUAAAAGAUAGAAACAUAAAGGCUAGAACGUUCUUGUUCGAUGUAACCAAAACUGACCUUAUAUUUGAUAAAUUAUGUAGGGAUAAGCAGAUAAAGUUGAGCGAUAAGCACAAAUUGCCAAACCCUGAACAAAUUAAGGGUAAAAAAUAUUGUAAGUGGCAUAAUGCAUGGUCACAUUUGACUAACAAUUGCUUGGUUUUUCGCCAUGUAUUGUAGGAUGCCAUUGAAUCAAGACGAAUUACGUUCGACGAUAAGAAGAAGAUGACAGUGGAUGAAAAUCCUUUUCCACAGCCACUUGGAGUGAACAUGGUGACAUCUAGAUUCAAAAACAAGUUGCCAAAAUUCAAGUUGGUUGUAAAUGAUGGAGAAGAGGAUCCUAGACCACAUCCCAGUGUCUUUGAACGAAUCAAGGGGAAAGAACCAAAAAAGGACGAAAACGUCCUGUGUGCAAGAUGUAAAAGAGAAAUGAAUGGCAAUACGGAGAAACCAGGGAUAUGGCAGCAUCCCCAUCGCCCUACCUUCUUCCCAAACACUCAGCCUGGUAGAGGGCGAGGUACAUCAUUCUAUAGAGGAUCGCCUUUUGACAGGCAGUUCAGGCCAGCAGAUAAUGGAAGAACAUUCAGGCCGCAACCUCGUCGGCCAAAUGUAUGGCAUUCAUUUCAGUAUAAUGCAGGAAGGGCAAUACCCUUCGAUGAGAUGACUAGAACCCAACAAAGGCGUUUCCAACGAAACUAUGGACGGAUGAUGAGGUAGCAACAGGGAGUGCCACAUCCUAAAGCGUCUAAACUACUCAAGGUAGCCAAUCAAAAUGUCCUCAAAGAUAGUGAAGAGACCGGUACAGAUGAGUCAAUGAAGGAACUGCCAAAAACUUCUUCUGGGAGAUCAAAGUUUGAGCGAGACAGAAGGGAUGGAGAAGAUCCAGAUCAGCCCCUUACUAUCGAAUUCGGUACGCUGCCUCCUGUCGUGGCCAAUAAUUACUUACUGACCAAUGAAUUCAAGAAUAAAGAAAAAGAAGAAGAGAGGGAGGACAACGAAGGAGAAGCUUGCGUGCUGGAAUGUGAAGAAGGCCAGACUUCUAGAGAGGCCUACAAGAUGAAGAGGACGACGGGAUGACAGACAUUGAAGAAGAAAUCGACCUAGAAGCAGAAGGAAGAAAGAGAGGAGUAUCGCACAAUACUCUGUUGAAGCAACUACAUCGAGAGAGAGUUCGCGAAGUAGACUUGUUGGGAGAACGAUCUGGGCGUUCUUUCGAUUUCUACGUACUGUACGGGACACCCAAAAGGAAGAAGAGAGUGCCUCGCUCUGAAAAGUAUGGGUCACCUCCAAAAAUAAUGCCCCCUCCCACAGGUUGGGUAACUGAUGAGGAAGCAUUAGAAAAAAGUAAGAAGGAAGUUCAAGAGACAGAGGAUCAGCGCGAUGUACUGCACGUCGACUUGUCACAGGGGAUAAUUCGACAGAAAACAAGCAGGAAGUAGAAAUAGAGGCUGCUGAAAAUGUUAUUUUUAAACGGCCAGCCAUGAAAUUGACUAAACACUUGAGGUCAUUGUACGUUAAAGCUCUAGUUAACGGUAUCCCAGUGGCAAAAGUGCUUGUCGACAAUGGAGCAACUAUAAACACCAUUCCAUCUAGAAUGAUGAGGAAGUUCGCAAAGACAGAGGGUGACAUGAUUCCUACAGAAGUCAUCCUCACGAGUUUCAAUGGAGGAGCAACUUCAGCUAAGGGAGUUAUGCCAUUGGACAUAACUAUAGGGACGACUACUAGGACCACUGUCUUCUUUGUAAUAGAUGGUCCUACUAGUUACAAUGUGCUACUAGGAAGAGAUUGGAUACACGAAAGUCGCUGUAUACCCUCAUCGCUCCAUCAAUUCCUGAUCUUUUGGAAUAAUAAAGGCAAAGUAGAGGUGGUACAGGCCGAUCAUAGGCCUUUUGUUGCAGAAGCAAACUCGGUGAAAAAGUUCAUGUACGAAGGAAACUAUGGACUUGUCAGGGUAGUACAAGAUGGGGAAAAAACUCAAGUUGUCGCGCAAAGCGAAGAACCAUUCUUAGUGGACGUACUCACUGAAAUGUUCAAAUAGAUGAGGCCAAAUAUAGUGGCCCUAGAAGAGCCAGUAAUUGGCAAAAGAAUAAUCAAGGAGUCUUGAAUGGAUUCUAAAUUACAAAAGCAAAUGGCCGACAUUCAGGCCUUCAAAGCCAGACUGAUGGCUUUCAAUAAGGAAUGCAAUAACAAGGCGAAAGAAGAGACGGCUAAAGCGUUGAAGGACAAAUUGGCAGUAUUCGAGUUAGAACAAAGCAUUGGGCGAGAAGUCAACAAGGCGGACUGUUUAGAAGAAGAAGUAUUUACAAGGGAACUAGACGACGAAGUAAUGUGGAUCGUCAAACCUGGAUAUGCUCAAGCACAAGACCCUCUGAUCAAAGUAAACAUUGGCAAUGAAGGAGAAGAUCGUCCAACAUUCAUCAGCCAGAUGCUAGAUCAAGAGGUUAGUAAUAAAUUAAUCGCUUUGCUAAAGGAAUAUAAAGAUUGUUUUGCUUGGGAAUAUGAACAAAUGCCUGGUUUAGAUAGAGACUUGGUGGAACAUAGGUUAUCAACUAAGCCUAAUUUUAAACCUCAUAGGCAGCCUCCUAGACGUUUUGCUCCUAAUGUACUCCCUGAAAUCAAGAAAGAGAUAGAGCGAUUAUUGAAAGCAUGUUUUAUUAGAACAGCCAGAUAUGUUGAAUGGUUGUCCAAUAUCUUGCCAGUACUAAAAAAGAAUGGUAAACUAAGAGUGUGUAUAGACUUUAGGAAUUUAAACAUAGCUACACUCAAAGAUAAGUAUCCAAUGCCCAAGGUGGAUUCUUUAGUAGACUCGAUUGCCGGACAUGUCAUGUAUUCUUUCAUGGAUGGGUAUUCAGGAUACAAUCAAAUUUAUAUAGCUGAAGAAGACAUACACAAAACUGCAUUUAGAUGCCCUGGGUCUCUAGGAUGUUUUGAAUGGAUGGUUAUACCUUUCGGCCUAAAAAAUGCAGGGGCAACUUAUCAAAGGGCAAUGAAUUUAAUCCUUCAUAAUAUGAUAGACAAUUUUGUUGAAGUGUAUGUAGAUGACAUAGUAGUCAAGUCCAUUAAAGAAGAGGACCAUUUCGAAUAGUUAAGAUGUUCGUUUGAGCGAAUGAAGCAAUAUAAGCUAAAGUUGAAUCCCUUGAAGUGUGCAUUUAGUGUUAAUGUAGGGAAUUUUCUUGGUUUCUUAGUACACAAGAGAGGGAUUGAACUUGAUAAAAAUAAAGCAAAGGCCAUUUUAGAGGCCAAACCACCUAGCAACAAAAAAGAAUUGCAAAGGUUUCUAAGCCAAGUAAACUUUUUAAGACACUUUAUUUCUAGCUGUGCAGGGCGAACUAAAGUCUUUUCGUCGCUUUUAAAGCUGAAAAAUCAGGACGAAUUCAUCUGGAAAGAAGAACAUCGAAAGGCUUUUGAAAGUUUGAAGACAUAUUUAACAAGUCCACCAGUGUUGAUGUCACCAAUCCAAGGACGGCCAAUGAAAGUGUAUGUAUCGACUGAAAAAGAAUCAAUAGCUAGAAUGGUCACACAGGAAGACCAAUUUGGUGAAGAAAUGACAAUUUACUACUUAAGUAGAUGGUUAACGAAAUGUGAAUGUAAUUACUCUGCUAUCGAAAAAUUAUGUCUUGCAUUGUAUUUCACAUGUACAAAAUUAAGGAUUUAUUUACGGCCAUAACUGUUUAUUUAAUUUUUAAAGUAAAUUUAGUUAAGUACAUGUUUUCGCGCCCUAUUUUACACCAAAGGGUAGGCCUUUGGACACUAGCUUUAUCAGAAUUUGAGAUACAAUAUAUACCUCAAAAGACAGUCAAAAAUCAGGCUUUGGCUAACUUUCUAGCCGAUCAUCCAUGCCUUGACAUGCCUGAAGAAAUUGAACUAGAAAUCAAUUCGUUCGAGCUAAAACCUUGGGUGUUGUAUUUCGAUGGAUCAAAAACCUCUAAAGGUACAUGAGUAGGAGUAGGAGUAGGAGUAGCAUUAAUUAAUCCUUUAGGGAUUUGCUACAAGUUCGCAUUCACUUUAGACAGAAUGUGCACCAACAAUCAGGCCGAAUAUGAAGCCUUAAUUGUAGGUCUAGAACUAAUGAUAGAUAUGGGAAUAAGAAAUGUGAUUGUUAUGGGUGAUUCUCAAUUGGUAAUCCACCAAUUGAUUGGUAAUUUUAAAUGUCAAAGUGAUUCCAUUAUUAGUCAACAUGAGAUCACCCAAGAAUUGUUAGAAGAAUUCGACCAAGUAGAACUUCAAUGCGUUAAUAGGAUAUAUAAUGACGUGGCAAAUGAGUUAGCUCAAAUGGUCUCAGGGUACUCAAAGGUUUUGAAUUGGAAGUCUACUUGUGAGUAUGGAAUCAUAUUGCCCGUGACUCAAAGAAGGGCGAGAAAGACUGAACUUCACUGCAUACAAGAUGGAGAUGCAAUGGAUUGGAGAAUAGAGAUUAAAAGGUUCCUUAAAGAACCUAAUGGAAGGAUUAGUAGGAAAAUGAAGCUGUGUUUGCUGAACUAUACACUAAUAGAUGAAGAGUUGUUUAAGAAACGCUCUGAUGGUGUAUUACUAAAAUGUGUAAGUUUGCAAGAAGUCAAAACGAUCAUGGCUGAGGUGCACGAAGGGAUAUGUGGAGCUCAUCAAGCUGGCCAAAUGAUGAGAUGGUUAAUUAUUAGGAGUAGAUAUUUUUGGCCAAAGAUGGGAGAAUUAUGCGUUCAGUAUGCAAAGAGUUGUUUAGCAUGCCAAAAGCAUGGUCCAAUACAAAGGGCGCCAACACGAGAGAUGACACCUAUUAUUAAACCUUGGCUGUUCAAGGGUUGGGCGAUAGACUUGAUAGGGAAGAUUUAUCCCUCAUCGUCCAAGCAACAUACUUUUGUUAUAGUUGCAACCGACUAUUUCACCAAGUGGGUAGAGGCGGUACCUUUGAAAGAGAUCACCCAGAAGAACGUCAUAGAGUUUAUUCGUGAUCACAUCAUUUAUAGGUUUGAAAUUCCACAAACAUUGAUGGUAGAUCACGAAACAUCUUUGAAUGGAGAUCAAGUGAACAAAUUUUUGAGCGAGUUUGGGGCUAAAUUAGUAAACUUCACACCAUACUACGCUCAAUCCAACGGACAAGCAGAAUCUUCUAAUAAGGUUCUAAAAAAUAUCAUUAGAAAGAUGAUAGACGAAAAUGCCAGAAAUUGGCACGAAUGUCUGAACAAGGCCUUAUGGGCUUAUAGAACAUCACCUCGGUCAAGUACCAAAAUUACUCCUUUCCAACUUAUUUAUGGACAGGAGGCCGUUUUGCCUAUAGAAAUCAACGUGCAAUCGAUUAGAGUGUGCUUGCAACAUAAGUUGAAAGAUGAUGAGUACGCCGAAUCACUAGUUCAAAAUUUAUUGGGGUUAGACGAAUUAAAAUUGGACGUCUUAGAUAGAUUGCAAGUUCAAAAACAAAGAAUGGCUAAAUUUUAUAAUAAAAAAGUCAUAGUCAAGUCGUUCAGCCUGGGUGAACUAGUUUGGAAGACGAUACUCCCUUUGGAUAGCAAGGAUCCAAAGUAUGGGAAGUGGUCGCCCAAUUGGGAAGGACCAUACAAAAUAAACAGUGUGUUACCCAAUGGAGCAUAUCAUUUGGAAGAUUUAGAUGGCACCAAGCACGUGAGAUUCAUUAAUGGCAAAUAUUUGAAAAAAUAUGUUCCUUCUUUAUGGGAAUGUGAAUAGAUAAAAGUACAAUCAAAAUAUGUUGAACGAUUAAGGAUAACAAGGUCAGAGCGAAAUACGUUCAAAUAAAGUCCUUUAUUAUCAAACGUUCAUUACAAAGAUACAAAAAUAUAAAUAAUGGAUGCUCUACAAACUACAAUCAAAAGUAAGCUAAUCUCCCGAUUGAUCGCUGAGUAAGAGGAUGGACUGGCCUCACCACCUUCCUAAAUGCAUCGCUGCAAUGGCGGGCAAAGAGUUUUAGAAGCACUCUCAGCAAGCAAGUUGAGAAGCACUCUCAACAAGCAAGGUGGCCCGCAAGCAUCCCAAAAAUUGCCUCCUAUCAUCGACUCCUUGUAAAGGACAAAGAGACGAUGGGAAGAACUUUGAUGGUAAAAACUUUGCUGCUGGACAAAAAAUAUUUCCUAUACCUCCCACACCAAAGGUGACAUCAAGGCAAAUAGCCCAAAGUUUUGGAAAAAGUGGUGAAAAUAUCAAAAGAAAAUGGGCAAGAUUUUUUAGUACAAAGCAGUUAAAUGCUUGAAGAAUUGACGAUUAAAAAACAAACGUCAAAUAAAUGCACAAGAAGUUAACAUAUAUGUUCAUUAAUGAUGAACAAAGUUACAAAGGGAAAAUCAAAUUACAAAAGAAAAGGGCAUCGUAUAUCUUAAUUACAGUCCACCCCACACUGAACGAAUUUGUUCCCUGAGUUUUUCCCAAUCCUCGUUCUGCCGAGAGGAAGUGAUGUUCAAUUCGGCCAUGACAUCAUCAUCAACUUCCAACUUCUUGUACUGCUCAACCAAGGACUUAGUUCGCUCAAUUCCCUGGGAGGCGUUGCGCUUUUUAGCAGCCAUUCUCGCCUUGCAGUCAUCAAUUUUGGCUUGAAGUUCCUUCAUUUGAGCAGCCAAACUAACCAUCGAAGAGUCUUCAAUCAUGACUUCGAAAGAGAUCUCUUUCAACUCAUCCUCAGCCUUGUUGAUCUCCAGACGCAGAGACUCUUUUUCAGAGAUGGCGCGAAGAUAUUGAGUAUUUUUGGCCUUUAGUUCAGCAUUCUUGGCCAGCAAGGAAAGGACCUCGGAGUGGAUAACCUUCAACGUCGCUUUAAAAUCGGCAGAAAGAUUGAGCGACGGAAGCGUCAGUGCUUGCUCCAAUUUCGCAUUCAAAUGCUCAAGUUUAUCCUUGUGUCUAGCAGCACUAGCCCUACCAAUGUCCAUAUCCAUGAAGGACACGUACUCAAAUAUCAACUGUUUGAGGAACUUCAAAUCUUCCUCUAAAGAAGCAGCAGGACGAUCAGAUGGAGCAGGGCGAGAUGUCUUGACUUGCCCCCAGGAAGCGAAUAAGUUUUGGAUAGAAGGCACAAUCUUGUCAGCAUCCUGCAAAGAAAAUUGCCAAUAUUGAAGAUUCUCACUACAACGAACAAAAUGGAAAUAAAAUUGAAGCAAAGAUUACCUCAUCAACAAUCGUGGAAGAUGGCAUAUCCUCAACCAAAUCUACCACCAGUGACUCCUCCAUUCGUGACGACUUUCCCUUGUUUGAGCGAGAAGAUGUUGCCACAACAGGCAGACUCAUAGGAGUAUCUGCAGAACUCAAGAGCAACAAAUCAGAAACGAAUAGCACAAGCAAAGGUAAGGCAUCAAAAAACUGAAUUACCUUCUGCUUCAAUGUUUGGGGGGUUGACGCCCUGAGAAGAAGGUGGCUCAUCCAUGGGUUGUGAUAAGGAUUCUGGGACUGAAGAUGUCUCUUUAAGUGUAGCCCCUCAUCAACCGGUUUGGAUGAAGCAGCCUCAGCAGAGGAUGAUGGAGCAGGAGCUGCUGAUGCCAAAGCCUUUAAAGGAGAGGCUGAACUUUUCUGAGGAAUCCAAAUAAAUCGUCAGCACACAGAAAAGUUUCAAGUAUGAAAAAGUAUGCUUGUGGGUAAACCAAUUUAAUUACCUUCCUCCUGACGAUAAGAGGGGUAUCAUCAUCAUCAUCAACAUCAUUCUCCAGAAUAGGAGAUGCUGAGGCUGGCCGUUUGCGGCUUGGGGCGCUCUUGGCUGUAGUAGGCUUGGCAGGAAGAGAAGAAGAUGGACGAGCAGACUGUUUAGCGCAACGAGAAGGAGAAGGACUCUUGAUGGAUGAAGGAGUGACUAAAACAGGAGGAGGGGAAGAAAUGCUCGGCUGGUCUAGUGAAUGAAAGGCACGAUUGGCAUCAGUCGCAAAUAAUCUGCGCUUCAUUGAGGGCCAGAGCUGUUCAAAAAGAGGAUGGAUGACGUGGCUAGAAUUGAAAGGGGCUAAUGAAAAAUGGCUGGUUAAAAGAAGAUUGCAAGCAUUUAUAGCCUCUGCUCCGCCUUAUUAAUAAUAUGAAAACGGUCAAUUAAGUUCCUUGAAUAGCAAGGAGGAACAUGCCAAGUUUGGCCGAAACCAAGUUAGCGAGCAAAAAAUUGGGGAACAUAAAUUUCUACCCCUACCUUGGCAUUGGUCCCAGUUAAAAUAUCAUGAAAUGGCUCUCUCCCGGUUAAAAACUGGAUCCAAAUGAGUAGGGAGGUGCUCGCGCUGUCUAUAGUGGAGGGGGGAUGUACAUAGUUUGGAGUCAAAAAAGGAGGAAAAGGAAAAAAGGAAGAGAUUGAAUCCAAAGAAUAAAAGAAUGAAAAAAUGUCCCUUCUGGACAUAUUUACAGGAGCCAAGGGCUCAAUGGCUAGCCCAUAGUAGCUAGCAGAGGAACGAGAAAUUGAUGGAGCACCAAGCAAUGGAAAAUAGGAUCUCAACCACAGUUGAGUGAACCAAAGACGUCCACUGCCAAUGGGAGAUGCACCAUUCUUCAAUUGAGUUUGAAGAGAAGCUAUGCCUCUAUAAAGGGCAGCCAAAAAGAAAGAACAUAAAUUCAAAGGCCUGCCACGCGCCAAUUCGUGCGCUAUGGGUAAAUAACUCAGGGAGGGCUUUAUACUUGGCACCCACAAAACGUAUUUACAAAGCCAAACUAGAAGAAAGGCCACUCGCUCAGUAUGGGAAGGCUCAGCGCUCGAAUGAUUGUGAAGGGUUUGCAGGCUUGAAUAAGACUCGGUGUAGUUUUUACCAAACUUUGGGGCGCCACCAGAAACCAAGAUACCAGGAAAAAUGGUAUCGCCCAAAGGUGGUAGAUUCACUAGGGCCCCAACAUCCCUUAAACUAAUAGACAUGGGGCCAAGAGGGAAAAUAAAGGUAUUAUACUCGGAAGACCAAAAACUCAAAGCAAUCGAAAAAAGUGUUGAAUCAAAAGUAGGGGGACGAAUAGAGAUUUCUAACAAAUCAGAAAUCCUAACAUUAUCAAAAAGUGUCUUAGUAGGACCAUGACCCACUAGACGAGCAUGCCACCUACAGAAAGCUACAUCAAAUUUAGGCCAAGUACGAAUACCUCUUUCGCGAAGUGGCCCCAGCGGCAGAGAGUUUAGAAAUGGAAGGCCUUGAGUACAAGGAAACAGCUGACCCAUCGUCGCCUGUUCAACUGCCUCUGCAUUGUUGAAGAAAGGAUCUAAGUAGAACUCAUUGCGUUCGACAUCGGCGGGCGCGAGAAAACUCGCAGUUAUGUAUGGACGACUCAGAAGUUUCUAAAAGUCAUCAAAACUAAAGGAGUCGCCAGCUUGAGAUUGUGAAAUAGCCAUUUGAGAUGGAACGAAGUUUUUCAGAGUUACGUAGCAGGGAAGCAAAAGAUGAACAGUAAAUCGUGGGAGAGACGCGAAAAAUUAAGGCGUGAUUUAAUGGUGCAGUGAAAUGGCGUGUUUGGGGGUUAUAAGGGUUUGCAAAACGACGCACCUUUUCAAUUUAUGGAAGAAAACAAUGAUUGAAAUUCUUGGGAAUCUCGAAUGUUGCUGGAAACACAAAGUGAAUAUGGCAAAAUUUAAUAAUUAUUAUUAAUUCUGCCAUAUUGGGGGGUAAUUGUUGACACAUAAAAAUUCAGCCUAAAUCGAACGGUCCAAGGAAUGAAGCCCAAUUGGAGGAUCCCCAAAUCAGAUAGCCCAAAGAACGAAGCCCAAUCAAACAAUUCAAGAUGAAGGCCCAAAUAGGGAGGCCCAAGAACGCGGUAAUGCCAUCGCCCAAGUUUGCAAGUCGCCUAGAAUCUGAGCGAAUGGAGUGCCAUGCAGUCGCCCAGAGCCGUUACUUUAUUCUCGCCCAAACCUUCAAGUCGCCCAAGGUCUUAACAAACAUAAAGCGUUGUGGUUAUCAAGAAGUGCAGUUAUCAAAGCAGUUAUUAAAGCAGCCCUAUCACGUUACACGAUUCAAGGAAUUCAAUUGAAAAUGGUUGAACGACGAAGAGUAAUGACAGCAGUUAAAAAAGGCAGUUUUCAUGACAAGCUGGUCAUUACGAGGAAAGUAGGCAGUUGUAGAACGAUCAAGCAGUUUUUAGGCGGUUGAUCACAAAAAAGAUCAUCCAUGGAGUAUAAAAGGGAGAAAAGACAUAGAGCAAAAGACCAAAUCAAAAACUCUCGAACAGAGAACAUGUAAUUUUAAUUUCUUUAGUUUAGACUUAAACGCUUUUUUCAGUAACUCGUGUGCUUGCGCUCUUUGGAAACAUUUUGUUUUUGAUUUCCAAUUGUACAGUCAUCGUCAAUAAAAGAACAUCCCUUUUUGGAACUUUGUCUCAAGAGAUUUAUCCCUUACACAAUCGUCUAAUCCCUUUUAAUUGUUAGCGACUAACUCGCGCGAAACAAAAAGCAAAUCUAUCUUUAUAAAAUGAAUAUGGUAUUUUAAAGAAUAAAAAAUAUGCGGGAAUUGAAAUUACGUUGCGUUCAGCAUGGAUAGGUUUGGUGCUUGGAAGAUGGUUAAAUUUCAUCCACAGUCACUGAAUUUUCAUAGAAAUCUUAACUGGGUCACUAAACUUGUAGAAUGAUUAUAAUCUUUAACCGAACUACUUGUAGUAAGCAAUUUUCAUCAAUUUGAGGAUGUCAUGUGAUGGACUCGUGCAAUUUGAAACUAAAAUAAAGUGAUGGUUUAUUCAAUUCAAAACUUACGAUGCGAUUGGUUUGUUGUUUUCAAUUUUGCAAAGCACUAAAAAUGAGUUUGUUCCAAUAUUUUUAGAAAUACAUUUUUAGAAUCAAAGAUAAAUUUAUAACUUAAAGCUCAAAAGGUAUUUUUGAAUUUUUUUAGUAUUUUCAAUGAAAAUUCCGAAAACAUUCAAAACAUAAAAAACAAGAGUUUAAAUAAUAUUUUAUUUAAAUAAAAUUUUGACAAAUAAAAAUAAAACAAUAAAAAAAUAAUUUCAAAAAUUAAAACAUUAAAAAUAAAAUUAUAAAACUUCUAAAAAAUUAAAAUUAUAAAAAGUUAAUCAAUAAAAAAUUAAAUUAGUUCAAGCUCUUAAUGAUUAAUUACAUAAAAUUCUAAAAAUAUAUUUAUGUGAACAUAGAUAAAAAUGUUUUUAGCCCACUUCAUUAAUUUUUAUUUUUAUUUCAUAGAGAGAGAAAAUAUUGUCACAUUCACUAACUUUGAAAUGUAAUAUUACACACUAAUAUAUUAACAUAAAACUAUUCUAUUUUUAUUGAAUAAAUGUUAUAAAAUAAUUUUUCAAAAUUCCAAUCCGAACGUAUUUUUUUCAAGUUUUCUUUUCUAAAAAAAUAAAAUAAAUUCAAAAUGACUAAUUAAACUCAUUUUUAGAAAUUUUAAAUGAACCAUUAAAGCAGAAAACUAAAAAUAACUUAAAAUUCAAAAUUGAAAACUGAAACACCAACGAAACAGACCCUUGAGUAACGAAUUAAGAUUUCACUGAAAGUUCACUAAGGGCCUGCUUGAUUUGGCCAAUUUUCCAUGGAAAACAUUUUUCAUUUUCUGCCUUUUGACUUGUUUAAUUGCAAAUUUUUCUUGGCAAUUAGGGUUGAAUUUUACAUCAAUAAAUAUUCUUUGUUUACAAAUUAAUCAGCCCAGUUCCAUGCUUCAAUUUAAGUACGUCUCAAAUUGGUGAUUGAACAUCUAUUCAUUUAUAAUCAAUCACUUAACUUCAAUCGGAGGGUGCAUAAUGCCUCCCAAAACUGUAUGGAAAAUCAUAUGUGGCCAUGUUCAAACAUUGGGAAGCAUUGAGUCAAUUGCAAUUGUCAGUUGGGGACUUCAACGUAAAUAUUGAAAAUAUGUUUGUAGUUGGGAAAGUGAUGAAUGGAAGAUUAAUAAGAGUUAAGAAUGACAAUUCGAUGCUAAGAAUUAAAUUGGGUAUCUUCUAAUAUUUUUAAAAAGUUAGAAUAUAGUGAAGAUAAAUUUUGGAGACAUUUGCUUAUUUGGGUUAAGGGGGUAUUUGAUAGGCAUUUUUAUGUAAAAAUGCAUUUUAGAAUAGUAAAUUGAUGUGAAAUGUGUGGUUGAAAAAUAAGAAUUUUUUUUUUAUUUACGGUGUAAUAUUAUUUUAAUAAAGAAUAUAUAGUUGAAAAAAAGAGAGAGAAAAAAGCAUUUUGAAGAAAAUAGCUACCAAACGGGAUUUAAGUAUGCAAAUAUUGAUAAUGUGAGAAUCUGUAUCAGUAUGUCAUUAUCUGGCUCAAAUCAUAGCUCAUAUUUAAUUACGGAAAAAUUGCAGCAGCGUUUCCUAACUUUCACUUUUUUACGAACUUUACUCUAACCUUCACUUUGUAAUACCCACAGUCUCAAAUCUUUCAAAAAUAUGCAAUUGAGGUCCAAAUGGAUGGAAACCGUCAUUUGAUCAUUAAUUGACUAGAAAAGUCUAUUUGGAUCAAAUUAGAAAGGGUAUAACAGUACUUUGUAUUUUUCUAAUUAUUAACAAUUAAAAUAAUUAAAAAAAACAAAAGAAAAGUAAAAAGUCUGCAACCAACCCCGAACCCUACCCCCAAACCCAUCCCCCUGCCAUCUCCUUCAUCUCUUCACCGGAAAAUACCAAGGCAACGCCACCACAACUUCUACUCUCUGUCGCCAACGCCAUUUGGUAAAACCCGUCUCCACCGUUGUUACAAUUUUCCUAAGAAAAAUCACCGUCCACGCCCAUUCGCGAUGAACUGCAGAUCCACUAAUUGGCUGAUUCGAGGAGAAUUGAUGAAGACCCAUCAUGUGCAUUGAUAAUAAUAUAAACUAUCUAAAAUCAAUGUAUUGAAUCAAUUCAAAGAGAACAAGAGAGAAGAGAAGAAGUUGAAUGAAGGGAGAAAACCACAAUCUAUUAAGGCAACAACUAACUAGAGUUUUAAAAUGAAAUAAGACUUAUUUUUAUACUACAAGGAAUCCUAAAAUAAUAGAAAACCUAAAAUAAGGAAAUAAAUAAAUAUAUAAAUAUAUAAUAUCAUCCCUCCUCAAACUCACGAUGCUAAAGCAAGAAGCAGCGAGAGUUUGUCAUGUAAGAAGCGAAAAUGAUGAAUUGGAUGAGAUUUAGUGAAAAAAUCAAUAAGCUGCAAUGAUGAAGAAACAAAAGGUAGGAAAAUGGUGCCAGUCUACAUAUGAUGUAGAGUUAGAUGACACUCAAUCUCAAUAUGCUUGGUGCGCUCAUAAAACACAGAGUUACGAGAGAUCUGAAUAGUACUAGUAUUAUCACAAUACAUAGGAGUUGGGAAAGAAUGAGGAACACCCAUGUUUGCAAGUAACUAACGUAACCACACAAUCUCGGUGGUAGUGGAUGCCAUAGCUUGAUACUUUGCCUCUAUAGAGAAACGGGAAAUAAUAGUCCGCUUCUUACUUCUCUAAGAGAUAAGAGAAUCACCCAAAAAUAUACAAAAAUUAGUAUUAGACUUGCGAUCAAUGGGGUCGCUGGCCCAAUCAGCAUCAGAGUAGGCACGUAGCACUAAGGAAGAGGUCGAUGUGAACAAAAGACUUUGAAAGCAUGUACCACGAAGAUAACGCAAAAUACAAACAACUGUUGCCCAAUGAACUGUAGUAGGAGUUGAGACAAAUUGACUAACAAUGUAAAUAACAUAAGCAAUGUUAGGACGUGUGAUGGUAAGAUAAACGAGACAUCCAACAAUAGUGCGAUACAAAGUAGGAUCAGUCAAUGGUAUAUCGUCAGAUGAGGAAUAUCGAGCAUUAGACUCAAGAGGAGUAUCAAUAGUUUUAAUAUCAGUAAGGUGGACACGCUCAAUAACAUCCAUAGUAUACUUGGACUGAGAGAUAAGAUAACCUCUAGGAGAAGAAGCAACUUCAAUUCCCAAAAAAUAAGAUAGUGGACCCAAGUCCUUCAUUUCAAAACGACAAGCUAAUUCUAAUUUCAAACCUACAAUUCCAUCAACAUCUUCAUCAGUAAUAAUCAUAUCGUCAACAUAUAACAAUAAUAGAACGUGACCAGCUGAAGUGCAUCUAAAGAAUAGAGCGGAGUCAUGAUGAUUGGAUAUAAAACCAAGAGACGUAAUAAAGGUGGAAAAUUUCUCAAGCUAGGCACGAGAUGCUUGUUUGAGACCAUAAAGUGCUUUCUUGAGCUUACAAACAAAUCCAGGAGAGUGAGAGAGACCAGUAGGGACCAUGUAAACCUCCUCUUGAAAAUUUUCAUUUAAAAAUGCAUUUUUGACGUCCAAUUGAGAAAGACUCCACUGACGAACAAAUGCAACUGCAAUAAUUGUACGAACAAUGGUCAUCUUGGUAACAGGAGCAAAAGUCUCCUCAUAAUCCAAACCAUAUUGUUGAUUAAAACCUUUCAAACCAAUCUAGCCUUAUAGCGCUUAACUGAACCAUCAAAUUUAGUUUUAAUCUUAUAAACCCAACGACAACCAAUAGCAUAUUUACUUGAAGGCAGUACAACUAAAUCCCAAGUGUAUGUCUUCUGCAGAGCAGAGAAUUCAUCAGUCAUAGCAUGUUGCCAAAGAGGAUCUAAAAUAGUUUCUUUAUAGGAAUAUGGUUCAGAUAACUUAUGAAUAGAGAUUAGAAAGCAGCAAAAGGACUCAGAAUAACAAGAAUAAACAAAAUCAGGUAACUGAAUGAACUUACAAAUACGUUGAGAAUAUCGAGAAAAAGAUGAAGCAAGAGCAGGAGUAGGAUCAACAAUCUCAGGCGGAGCUUGGGAAGCCAUAAAAGAGGGAGGCGUAUCAUGACUUGGAGCGAGAAAAUCUCCCCAAUGGUUACUGAACUUUGCAGAAAAUCCCCUAGGAGGUCACCGAACUUCAAUACGUGCCUAAAUAGUCACUGAACGUUGUCGAAAGCCCCCAAGAGUUCACCGAACUUCAAAACAUUCCUGAAUGAUCACUGAACUUUGUCGAAAUCUCCCAGAGAGGUCACUCAACGUUGCAAAUUGGGACCCCAUACAUGACUAGUUUAGUGACCUCCCAGGGACGUUUUGCAAAGUUCAGUAACCAUUCAGGGAUGUUUUGAAGUUCGGUGACCUCUUUGGAGACUUCGAAAAAGUUCAGCGACUAUUUAGGAAUGUAUUGAAAUUCGUUGACCUCCUAUAGAUUUUUCUGCAAAGUUCAGUGACCAUUGGGGAGAUUUCCUCGACCUGGAGCAUGUGCACUUGUAGGACACAAAGAAUCAACAGAACAUGGGGUAUAGGAAGGUGAAUUGUUUAUAUCAUCAGAGAAUGGAUUAAUAUGAAUGAGGUCAGUUUUGGUCACGUCAUGAGUAUUAUUAGGAAUAGAGAAGAAUGAAAUGUGCUAAAAAAACACGACACAACAUGACCAGAAAUAUAUAAUUUAUUAGUUAUGGGAUCAAAAAGUAAUAACCCUUUUGCCCUUACCCAUAACCUAAGAAAACACAGAUAGCAGAGCGAGAUGUCAACUUACUACGGUCAACUUUAUGACGAAGAAAAAAAUAUGUACAACCAAAGACUCUCAAUGAGGAGUAAUCUGGAGGAUGCCCACACAAUGUUUCAAAGGGUGAUAAACCUGAAUUGUGGGAAGAUGAAAUCUUAUUAAUUAAAUAAAUUGUAGUGAGAGACACUCUCCCCAAAAUUCACUGGGAACUUUGGCUGACAAAAGAAGUGAACGAGUAGUUUUUACAAUGUGCCUAUGUUUUCGUUCGGCAACAUCAUUUUGUUGUGGAGUAUUAGUACACGAGGUUUGACGAAUUGUGCUGUCAAGAGCAAGCAAUUCAGAGAAAUCAGUUGAGGUGUACUCUCCACCCAAGUCACAUCUAAAGCAUUUAAUUACUGUGGAAUGUUGAGUUUUAAUAAGGCUCUAAAGGAUCGAUAAAUAGACAGAAAGUCAGAUCGUCGUUUCAUAAGAUAAACCCAAUAAUAAUGACUAUAAUCAUCAAUAAAAGAUGCAUAAUAUCGAGACCCUCCUUUUGUAGCAAUAAGAGCAGGUCUCCACACAUUAGAAUGAAUAAGAUCAAAUGGUGUAAUAGAAUGAGAAAUACUUCGAGGAAAAAAUAAAGCAGAAAAUUUUGUUAAUUUGCAACCACUACAAUAAAAAAUGUCAUGAGUUUGUAUAUUUUCCAAUUGACCCUUAGAAACUAAAAAUUUCAAACGACCAGCAGAAACAUGUCCAAGGCGAGAAUGCCACAAAUAAAAAUUAGAAGACAAAGAAUUGAAAGAAAAAGAUGAUAAAUCAACACUAAGGGUUGCAAUAUGCGAUGAUUUUAGAUUGUCCAGAACAUAUAACCCUUCUUGUCUACAGCUUAUCUCAAUCAGCUUCUGAGAUUGAGGAUCCUGCACAUGACAAGCAGUAGAAAAAACUGAAAUAAGUAUCCAGAAUCGCACAAUUGGCCAAUAGAGAUAAGAUUCAAAGUAAGAGUUGGAACAUAAUAGACAUCUGAAAGUGAUAAAUUAUGUGUAUUAAUAGAACCAACACCUGCUAAAAGUAAUGACGUACCAUUAGCAGUCAUAACAGACAUGGGCGAGUUAGAAGGACGCAAGUUAUUAAAGAAUUUUGAGUUAAACGACAUGUGUUUAGAAGCACCUGAGUCAAAGAUCCAUGAGGAAGAGAUAUCUGAGUGACUCUAUGAUGACAAACCUACAUGAGUGGAGGCUGACAUAGCAUGUGGUUGUGGAACUAAGAACUUCUGAAACUGCUCUGCUAAGUUCGUCAACAUGGGAUUGGAGGAAGGUGGUGCUCCAAGUAUGGAUGAAUCACUAGGUGGCAUGGUGGCAACUGUGUUAGCAUUAGGACGAUAAGAUUGCUGCUGUGAUUGAGGUUGCUGUUUCUUCAAUAACUUAUGACAUUGUGACUUUCAAUGUCCUUUUUGUUUACAAAAGUUACACUCGUCAUUGGCAGCUCGCACAUAACUUUUAUUCUGAUUCUGUGUGGACAGUCAAGAGGGUAUGGCCAACACUGAUGUGCUAGAUGGAAGAAGAGAAGCUUCUCUCGCAAGAGAUUUCAAAUGUAUUUCCUCAGCUACAAGUUCACUAACAACCAAAUCAACUGAAGGAAGUGGAGUACGAUGUGAGAUAGAGCCUCAAAGUCCUUCAAAAUCACUGUGAAGUGCCAUAAAAAACUGAACUAAUGGGUGCUCCUUUCUAAAAGUAAUAUAUUCCUCACAUGCUUUCAGUCCUGUUGAUUCCGUAAAAGCCAACUCAUCCCAAAUUGAAUUCAUAGUAGCGUAAAACUCAAGUAUACUCAUAUCUUUUUGAUGUAAAGCUCGUAUAUCAAUUUCUAACUGAUACCGCUUUGCAAAGUUAAACUUAGUAUAUAAAGUUUGAAAAUGCUCCCAAACUUCCUUCGUUGUUUCAAACUUCGCUGACUAUGUACCAAUAGAUUACAGAAUUAUGAAUCCAAGUCAGAAUUUUUGCGUUGUUUGACUCCCAAUUAUCUAACUCUGUUACAUAAUUUUGAGCAGUGUUCUCCGGUUUCACAACAGUUCUACUGACAUAACCCCACAAUCUUUUUCCUUUGAGAAAAUUUCUCAUCACUGUACUCCAAUAUGAGUAAUUUUUACUAUUUAAUCUAACACUAAUGGAUUGAAGUGAGUCAUCUCUUUCGGAUGCCAUCAUAAAGUCAAUAAAUGAUCAACUACGAAUCAACGAAAUCACCUAAUUUUUAAAGAAAACGACGAUAACUAAUGUACCACCACAAACCACAAUUGAAAAAUACUACAUAAUGUACGUAUAAUCAAAGUAACACCACCAGAAGAUCAAAAAUUUACCAAGGAACAAACUAUCUUUUGAAAUCACCCAGAAUAACCUACCACGCGCCCUCAACAUCAUUAAGCGUAUCAUCCAUGCGCCUCCGCCACGCGUCACUGUUAGCCUACACGCACUUGAUAGGAAUCUGCGUCUCAAUUUGCUGAACAAAGAUCCGGCCUUAUUUUUCCAAUCAGUCUAUGGUUUGUUAGGAAUCAUGAUUUUUAGUUCUGAUCGAUUAAGUUUUUGGCACAAAUUUUAUUUGUCUAAUUUCUGCCUCAAAUUCCAGCACAUCCCAAUAAAUUUUUUUACAAAUUUCACUCAAUUAUCUAGUUCGAUACCAUGAUAAUAAUAUAAACUAUCUCAAAUCAACGUACUGAAUCAAUUCAAAGAGAACAAGAGAGAAGAGAAGAAGUUGAAUGAAGGGAGAAAACCACAAUCUAUUAGGGCAACAACUAACUAGAGUUUUACAAUGAAAUAAUACUUGUUUUUAUACUACAAGGACUCCUAAAAUAAUAGAAAACUAAAAUAAGGAAAUAACCUAAAUUAAGGAAAUAAAUAAAUAUACAUUAUCAUGCAUCUUCUUCACCAUGAUGAGUAGAAGCCAAUGGUGGUGGUGGUGUGCGAUCAUCGUUCGUAAUAUCGGCGUUGGAAUUUGGGACAGAAGGUGCGUGGUUCACUGCCUUUGGAUAUUACUAUUUUGUUUCUGAUUUAAAUUGUUUCUUAAUGGUAUGGGGCCAUGAAACUUCUAGUCUAGGGGAGUAUUAAUAGUCUAUAAUGAAGUUAGGCUAUGGGUUGAAGGCCAGAAUUGGAGGAACGGCCAUGUGUAAUGACAUUUUUUUGGGAGUGAAAUUGGUCUAAUUUCGAUUAGUUAUUGCUGUUUUUUGUAUGGGAUUGUAAAGUGGAAUGAGGAGGUGUUGGUGGUGUCAAGAUCCUGUGGUUUAUCCGACAUUGUGUGGUGGUGGCGAUGACAAUGUUGACCAUGGUGUGGUUGGGUUGGAAAGGAGGAGGAGGAAGGGUUAUGGUUGGUGGAUAUAUUGAAAUAUAUCAUUAUUUUAUUUUUUUAUUAUUUUGUUUAAGUUUAUUAUUAGGAGGGAUAGAUGAGAAUUAAUAGCAAAAGUAACAUGUUGCCCUUUUUAAUCUGAUCAAAAUUAAUUAAAUUUUGACUUUUUGGUCAUUAAAGUCAAAACGGAUCCAUUUGGAUCCCAUGUGCAUAUUUUUGAAAGGUUUGAGACUGUGGGUGGCACAAAGUUAAGGUUAAGGUAAAAUUUGUAAAAAAGUGAAAGGUUAGGGAUCGUUGUUGUAAUUUUUCCUUUAAUUACGUGGAGAUGACGCAAGAAACAGUUGAUUCGAACAUUCUAAGUAGUUCAAAGAAAACUAGUGUUAUUUAUUUAACAAGGACCAAAUUAUAGUUUUAGCGUGUGUUUGAACUCCAUUAUUCCAAUUUUUGCCAACUUUCCAAUUUUUAAACAGUAAAUUAAUUGUUAAAAAAUUGCAAGUAGACAGAACUGUGUCAAGUCUUUUAAUUGUUGCUAAAAACGUUGAAAUAGCCCUUGUCAAAACAUCCUCAUUUUUCGUAAGUAAUUUCCAAAAAUAAUCCUGCUAUUCAACGUUUACAUAGCGUCCCACCAUUUAUAUGAAGGGUAAACUAGGAAAUCAGAUUUGGGUACUUGCCACAACUCUCCAAGUCAAUCAUGGAUGGAGUUUGACAAUUCAUUCAAUGUGGCCCCCACAAUGAAGAAUAUGAAAUUGGCAAAAAAUUGGAAUAAUGGGUCAAACACUCGCUUAGUUUGACUUUCAUUUUAGGGUAAAUUAGAUUUGAGAUAAUUAUUAGGGACAGGAAUUGACCUCCAUCCCAUAGCAGGCUAUAGAUAUUUUGUCUACCUCACCAGUGGUUUAGUAGGCAUGAGAACAACACACAUCUCGCCACCUCACCAGUGGUUUGGUAGGCAAGAGAUCAAUCCUGCCUUUAAUAAUUAUCUCGAAUCUAAUUUGGAGUCCAUUAACAUCUAAUUGAGAUUUGGUGAGUUCGAGCCAUAGUGUCUAUUUAACUUUAAGAAUAUGUUUAGUAAACUAUACCGUAUAUCAUCACACAAGAUAAUAAGACAAGAUUUAACUUAUUUUCUUAUUUUCUUCAAUAAUCAACCUUUAUUCAAUCUAAUAUAUGAAGAGCUUUUUUGGGAGUGAUUUUUUCUUCCAAAAAAUUGAUUUUUUGACUGUUAUUUCACUAUUUCAACGGCCAUAUUUGACUUCAUCUCUCACAGAUUAACCCCACUUUUCUCUUAACGGUCAAAAAAUCAAUUUUCAAAAUCACUCCCAAACAGGCUCGAAAUAUCGUAACUUGAAAUUAAAAAAAAAAAUGUUUUAGAUAUAAAUAUUGCAUAAGUUUUAGCAAGCAUCUUGGUCAAGUCAGUGGGACUAAAAUAGGAUUGCUUAAUACAUUUUUCAGAUAACCAACUGGCUAUCAUUUACUCACCCACCCAUUAUCUUCAAAUCUUGAAUUGUUUUAAAAGUAUUAUACCAACUGUGAUUUUGAUGUGCUGAAUUGAGACAAUUUAUCUACAAAAAAUCUUACACAACACACAAUCUUCCAUAAAGAACAUGAAUUUGCUUAACCUUAACUACAUAAACACCAAUAUAUCAUUUUCAUUGGAUGCUUAUUAGACUCGACCUGGAUAAGAAUUAAGCCCUUGUUUGAUUUUCAUUACAUUACAUUCUAUUUUUGUCUCUCCUAUUUUCAACCACACAAUCUUCCAUAAAAUAAUAUUACACGUAAAUCAAAAAUUUUUCUUUCUUUUUCAACCACUCAUUUUUCAAAAAAUACUAUUCUAUACAUUAAAUUUUCCCCGUAAUGGGGGCCAAACAGGGGCUUAGUAUUAAUCAAUCUAGUUGAACGAUUUAUAAUAAAAGAGACAAGUCACUGACUUUAAGAUUUUUUUUAUGAAAUUUGGUAAAGCAGUAAUUUCUUAAGAGUAAGAAUUUUAAAGGAAUGAUUGUUUUCUAUAAAAAAUAAAAAAAAAAUAAAAAAAAAAAACAGAAAAGAGAAGAAAAAUUUGCAUAGUUGGUCCCUAACUGAUUGCUCCAGUAGAAAGUUAGUCCUCAACUUUUAUAAGGAGACAGACUGCUGAUCCUGACAGUUUAUAUAACUUCAUCAAAUUAGAUAUCCUAGAGCACCGUAAGGAAACUCUAAUAGCAUCUCAAAUCAUGGUAUAAAAUAGAUCUAAAUUGUGAUUUAUAUUUUCAAAGUGGACAGAAAACUUCUCCACUGGAGGGAUGCAAAGAAAAUGCAAAUUGCAUUUUUCGAUAGAAAAUGUGAAAAAAGAUGUUACAUUCAUAAGAGACAAAAAUUGAAUUUAAAUAUUUUCAAUGGAGCAAAAUUUGAAUUUAGAUCCAUCGGAAUAUAACUGAGAAUGUGAAAGUGGUUUUAGAAAUAUUAAUUUACACCCAAUUUUACACUAUCAUUGAAGAUACUCUAGCUUCAUCAAUUUAGGCCCUUGUUUGGUCUCCAUUAUUUUCAAAAUACGUUAUUUCUCUUAUUUUAACUACACAUUUUUCAAUAAAAUAAUAUUAUAUACAAAUUAAAAAAAUUUCUUAUUUUUUAGUCAUAUAUUCUCUAUCAAAAUAUAUUUUAAAAAAAAAAAAGAUUCAAACAUGCUCUGACUAUAAUGCAUGGAUGUCAAAGCUGCUACUAUUUGAUAUGGUUGACUUUGACAAAUUGUGCAAAAUUGCCAGAGAUUCUUGCUUAAAGACUGAGCUGUGUUUUUGGUACUUGGGUCUUUGUCGACUACUUAACAAGUGGUUGACUUUGACGUUUAGCUAAACCAUAAAUUGUUCUUCAUCCCACUCUACCAAGCUGGGUGACUAGAUAUAAGUACUCUGUCCAAUGAAAUUAAUGACUAAUAAUUAGUACGGCAAACUGGUAUUUUCAUUCUAGUUAUAACUAAUUUCACAUGAUUUUUUGUAUCUAAUUUGAACUUUGUUGUGUGUAUAGAAAAUAUACGCACAGAAUGGACACAAAACAGUCACAACAACAUGGUGGGUUUUUUUGCAUUAUUUUAUUUACUGAAAUCCACCUCAAUGUGACAUUUCUGUAGAUUUUCUGUGAAAACAUUUUCUACACAUGGAAAAAUUCAUCUAAUUUUUACAUUAGGCCAAGUGAUAAUAUUGUGUUUUAGUGUUAGAAAGAAAAAUUAGAGUCUUGUCAAGUCUCUUUAGACAAGUCGAUCAUGAUUCGAAAAAAAAAAAAAAAGAGUUGAGUAUCUUGACUUGGAUUUACUUGCAUCGUGCUAAAUAAAAUCAAGAGUAAUACUAUUAAGUUCCACCGAUGUUUAGCAUUAGUUUAAAGUAUAAUGCAUUUUUAUACAUUGAACAAUGUGACAACAACUUACUAUCAAAUAAACGACUAAUGAGAGUGAAUAACGGUAUUCUAAAACCAAUAUUUACUUUGUCAUUCUUAAAAUUAUUACGAGAAUACGAUGUACUUGUAGCUUGCUUAAUCAUACUUAAAAGUUAUUUGUCUAAAUAUUAAAAAAAGUAACACCCACAAUUUAUUUGUUUUUAACUACAAAAAGUAGUGAGUCCCUCAAUCCCAAUACAUAUAAUCACUUAUAAGCCAAUUCAAUCACGUGCACGAGGAAGAAAUAAAAAGGAAAAAAGAAAAACUCAAAUGUAUAUGUUUAAUAGUGCUUUAAGUAUUUAUAAUCUAAGAGUUUUGCAAAAUAUAAGUAAUAAGUGAGGAAUUAGUUAUGAAUAAUAUGGAUAUAUUUAAUAAAAACGUGUUGGAUUAACUUAAGAAAAAAGUCAAGCUCUGGCCACUGCCAUAAACAAGAAAAUUUCAUGAAGAACAAAUGUCUACGCCAGCUGGAAGUAUCCAAUUAAAAACUUAAAUAUUACAUUACAUGUCAUAUAAAUUGAAAAAAAGGUUAAAAAAGUUUUGGAAAUUUCAAAGAUUCUUAAAAUACUACGAAACAAAAUAUUCCACGAGGUUAGCCCACCUAAAAAUGCCAGUAAAUAUUACGAAAAAUUCAAAGUUACGUCGGUGACGGUUGAAAUAAACAGUUUCCACAUCCAAAUUACCCGCGAUAUCUAUAUAUGUACGAACAAAUUCAAUUACACAUCAUUAUUAGCUAUGAAAAGUCCAUCGUUUGGUGGUGGCCGGCGCCGGAGUUCUAGUUCUGGCUUACCGGAAAAGAUGACCCACUCUCGGAGUUCAUCUAACUAUUCCUCUUCCACUGCUUCCACCUCUUCCCAUAAGUCAACCACCGGUUCCACUAAGAACCCCGUCAAGAACGCUGCCCGUACCAUGGCUGACGCUUUGGUGGCUUGUUUUACUCCGCCGGAGACGCCCAAAAACUCCGUCAACUUCAGUGUUUCUUCAGGUACGUCAUUUGAUUCGAGCUUAUGUUUGUGUUUUCUGUGUUUUGCUGAUAUGUGUUUGUGAUUUUGUCGAACGGAAAAUAUGGUUCUUGAGUUGACUGUCUUUGGUGAUGUGCCCAAGAUCUUUGUUUUUUUAUUUUUUAUUUUAAUGAGCCUGUGAGAAUUGAUUUUUCUGGUCAGAUUUUUUCUUGAUUUUCUUUUAGAUUUUUGUUUAUUUGGUUUUUUUUUUUUUACUUUAUUUUUAUUUUUUCCUGUUGAUAGAAUGUGACUUGAAUGGAUCAGAAGAAAAUAGGAUUUUCUGUUAACAUAUCUUUAAGAUGCAUUACUCUUCCUAAAUUUAUUUGCUUGAUUUGCUUGUUUAGGAUUUGAUUUUAACAUCUCUGAAAACUAAUUGGUGUUCGACAACUAAACCUUUUAUGGCAUUCAACCAUGGACCAACCCAUGGACUUAAACAACACGUCGCUCCCUAACUAGCUUUGAUACCACUUGUUAGGAUCGGAUUUCAACAAUCUCAUGUGAAAACCAAUUGGUGUCCUGGGAGGUCAAGCUAUACCUUUUAUAGAAUUCGACCACCAUCAUUUGAGUGACACAACCCAUAGGCUUAAGAGCAGCAUCGUUACUCCCCAACAGUUUCACACUAUAUUCAUGGUGGCAUUGGCUUAGCAGUUAUACAUAAAAUCUUGUAACCAGUGUAGUUUUGCUCGUUUGAUGGAUUUGUUUUUGAUGGAAUUGGUCCAUUAGAAAUACGGAAAAUGGUAUUUCUACUAAGAGCAAUUGCUUUUUCUGACAUUCAAUUUCUUCUUGUAAAAAUGACAUGCCAAGGAGAACUAAGGAAGUAAUCAGGUUGAUGCAUAUUUUGAUGGCUGGAUUUAUUCUUUUGCUUUUAUGUAUCUUUCGUAGGGAUGAUUGCAUAAGACUCUAUAGUAUUAUGCUAAAAGAAAAAACGUUAAAAUCACGUUCAUUAUAUUGUCUAAUACCAUCUAGCGGUGUGUACCAAAUAUGCACUAGAGGGGCAAGCAAACUGCAUAUAGUGUCAUGUAUGAAGCAUAUCAAAAUCUUUUUCUUGAUGCGAAACUGAAGAACUCCAAGGAACUUGGUGUAUUCCAUUUUGAUAACCAGAGAACUUUUUGGUACAUUGAAAAAUCUAUGCCCUUUAUGUAAUGAAUUAGAAUGCAAGCUGAGGUGAAGUAAUUGUUUAAAUGAUCAAUAUUUAGAUAAGUCGGAUGCUUCAAAUUCUGGUGGCGAGAGGAGAAGUGGUUCACAUCGGGGCAUCUAUGGUAGUUCCUGUAAUUCAACGCACAUAGGAGACCCAGGGAGUACUAAAUUCACCAUUGAAGAAAUCUACAAGGCCACCAAAAACUUUUCACCUAGCUUCAAAAUUGGACAAGGUGGUUUUGGGACAGUCUACAAGGGUCGACUUGAGGAUGGAACUUUGGUUGCAGUUAAACGUGCUAAGAAGGUUGGAGGUCCACAAAAAUGAACUUGCAUCUGAAAUAAAUAACAUUGACUUUACUGUCACCAGUUAUUGCAGAUUUUGUUUUUUAAGGUUCUUCUCUGUGUGCAGAUUGUCUAUGAUAAACCUUUAGGUACAGAAUUUCAGAGUGAAGUUCGAACACUGGCACAAGUGGAACAUCUAAAUCUAGUUAAAUUUCAUGGCUAUUUGGAGCAGGAAGAUGAAAGGAUUAUUGUUGUUGAACAUGUUCCAAAUGGAACCCUUAGAGAACACUUGGACUGUGAGUUCUUUCUCACCAUAUUGUACAAUUAGCCAUCAUUGUCUAUGAUUUCAUUUUACAUCUUGAAUCCUUGAUCAUGUUAUACUUAGUUUCAUUUUGAGUAAUUUAGUGCUCGUUAAAGAUAAUGGAAGAUUCUGGGUGUACUUUUUGAGUUAUUUUCAACAUUUAUUGUGUCAUUCUCGUAAUUCCUAGACAGAAAAUGUUAUAGGAAUUCUCUCAUUCCUUUCAGUAUUUUUUUUCUCAAAUAUAUUCUAGCCUAUAUUAACAUGUGAUUUACUGAUCCAGGUGUGCACGGUAAUGUUCUUGAUUUUGCUGUGAGGUUAGAUAUAGCAAUAGACGUGGCACACGCAGUUACCUAUCUCCACAUGUACACAGGUAUGAAUUUUGUUAGCAGCCACAUUAAUUAGGUUCUCAGGAAAUUUAGCUUCAGUACUUGAGUUGCUCUGUAUGCAGCUCAUCCUAUCAUCCAUAGAGAUAUCAAGUCUUCUAACAUUCUCCUCACGGAGAAUCUAAGAGCUAAAGUUGCCGACUUUGGUUUUGCUCGGCUAGCAGCUGACAGUGAAUCUGGAGAGACACAUGUAUCGACCCAAGUUAAAGGAACUGCUGGCUAUUUAGACCCAGAAUACAUGAAAACCUACCAACUUACGGAAAAGAGUGAUGUUUAUUCAUUCGGUGUGUUACUAGUGGAACUAGUCACAGGCAGGCGUCCAAUUGAGCCAAAACGUGAUCUGAAGGAACGUAUUACCGCUAGAUGGGUAUGACCCUCUCUCUAAUGAGCAAAACUGCAGUGCAUGAUGUUAAAAUUGAGCAAAACCCAUUAAGUGGAGGAUCAAUCCUUAUUUUUAUUAAUUAGUCCACAAUUUUCAUAUAUGGAUGGUGGAAAGACUUAAACGUAAGGCCUUCUCUAAUAUUAUAUCGAACUACCUCAUCGAAGGUUUAAGCUAUUAGAGAUGGGACACACUUGUUUGUUUAGAUUUAGUCUUCAACAUCCACUUGGAUGAUUUCUUGAACAAGGAGAUUAUUUUUCUGUGCCUCCACUAAUUUUAGAGGGGGCACAAUAGAAUAUUGGUUUAUGUUUUCUCUGGUUGAUUUGAAUUGAUUCAAGUGCAGGCUAUGAAGAAGUUAUCUGAUGGAGAUGCAAUCUUAACUUUGGAUCCAAGGCUACAAAGGUCUCCUGCAAAUAACUUUAUAAUGGAAAAGAUUCUUGAAGUAGCCUUGCUAUGUUUGGCUCCUCAUCGACGUAACCGACCUCCCAUGAAGAAGUGUGCCGAGAUGCUUUGGAGUAUUCGCAAGGACUACAAAGAAUUCUCAACUUCAGAUAUCCCUUCGCUCUCUUCGAAUGCUCAGAGAAGUAGUUCAAUCAGAGAAGAAUAAGCAAGCCGGUGCAAGUAUUUUCAUUCACGUUACUUGCUUCCAUUGAAAAUACAGAAAGAGUACUGAAGAUGGUAAACUAGCAUACAAUGUCGUAGUGGGAAGCGAAGAAAAGAGAGAACUUGAAGGGUGUUUGGCCAAUUGCAAAGAUGAUGAAGUGAUAUUUAGUUCAUGAUGUUUGGCUUCUGCAUGUAGGAAAAUCUUUUGAUAGAUUAUAUUUUGCCUUAGGGAAUUGUAUUUGUUGAUUUCAACAGUAUUUUUUCUAUAAUAAUCCACCUGUGAAAUUUGAGCGGCUUCUUGAAUUUGGUUCGAUUUACAUUAUGAGGUUAUGAAGUUUGCUGAUCCUUGAUGAUUCACGAUAAGUCGAAGAAUUGUAUGUCCCUAUAGAGUGAUAGAGGGCAGGACAUACCGGGCCUCAAGGGAGCCAGGGUUGGCCUUUUGCCAUCCCUAGUGCUCAUAAACUGAUAAGUUGGAACCCUGCUGCCAAACAAAUAAAAUUAAAUAGAGACAACAUUGCAAUGUGGUUUGUAAGUAAAGAACAAAUGGGGCAAUUUUCUCGCAAGCACAACACACUUUAGAGCAUGUUUACCUAAGCUUAAAAGGCUUGCUUAUGAGUAAAUUAGUACGUAUAGCACGUGAUUUUAUAGUAAUGAAUUUCAAAUAAGUAUUCAAGUUAAGACAAAAAAGAUGAACGACUCUUGAACAAAAUCAUCGAUAAUUGAAUGUUAUUAUGAAAGUCUUUUUUUUAUUUUGAGCUCAUAGUUUAGCUGCGUAACAAUGAACUCACCAAAAAAACAAUAAAAAAGAAGAAAGAAGUUAAAGAAUAAAUUGUAAUCAUACUCCCAAACUUUUUAAAAAGUGCAAAUGAGUCCACAUAAAUUAUUAAAAUGUAAUUAGCACAAAACGUCCCUAUCUUUCAUUAUUAUGUGCAAAACGUCCCCACCUUUUAUUUUUUGACAUUUUCAACAUUAUUUUUAUAUUUUAUUGCAAAAAUCAUUAUUUUCAUCUAUUUUUUUCAAUUAAAAGAUGUAAAAUGACAAUAUACCCCCAUCUUUAAAUAAACAAAAAUAAAGAACAAAUUGCAACUAUAUUCCCAAAUUUUUUUAAAAAAAUUACAAAUAAAUAAUUUAAAAAACAAAAAUCACUUUCUUUUUUAAUUAUUUAUUCAAAAUUUAUUUGUACUUUUUUGAAAAUAUAGUUGCAAUUUGUUCUAUAUUUUUCUUUUUUAUUUUUGUUUGUUUAAAAAUGAGCGUUUAUUUGUUAUUUUACAGCUUUUAAUUUAGAAAAUAAAUGAAAAUAAUGAUUUUAGCAAUGAAAUAUGAAAUAAGGGUGAAAAUAUUAAAAAAUAAAAGGUAGGGACGUUUUGAGCAAUAAUAAUGAAAGGUAGGGAUGUUCUGUUAGUAAAAAGUUUGGGAGUAUGAUUACAAUUUAUUCUUUAACUUUUCUUUUCUUUUUUAUUGUUUUAUUUAAAUAAGGGGUAUUUUGUCAUUUUACACAAGAAAUUUGAUGUAAUGGAUGAUUUUCACAAUAAAAGGUAAAGAUAAGGGUAAAAGUGUUAAAAAAAAUGAAAGAUAUGUACGUUUUGUACAAUAAUAUUAAAAGAUAAGGACGUUUAGUGCUAAUUAUCCAUUGAAAACACUAAUAUAUAUAUCAUUUAUUGCCGUAAACCUUCAUAAUAGCUAAGUGUUGAGUGUUUUAAUGAAUCAUUGACUUAUGGGUACCAUAGAAACGUUUUAUAUUUUUAUAUUUAAAGAUAUAGUGAAAAAGAACAAAUAAUGUGCAUCACUAUUGUCAAGUCAUGUCACAUUUGUAAGAUAAUAACUUUUACCGCAGGAAAAGCCAAAUCGAUACACCUCCAAGAUUAACGACUUCUAUCCAUUUAUUUGUUUCAUGUUAAUUUUUAGUUAAUGAAACUUUAUUUGACUUCUUGCUUAAGAUAUGAAAAAUAACUUCUUAAAAUUUUUUAUUCUAUGAUAAAAUUAGCAUGGAUUAAGAAAGUCUUAAGCUUGGCUUAUAUUAUAUAAGACUGCAAAAAAACUAAGUUCUCAAUUAUAAUCUAACAACAGAUAUUUUACUUGGCAAUUGCUUGAGGCAGAAAAACUUUUAUAUUAAUUAUUGUUCUCGGUUCAGUUGCGUAUGGGACUUUUUAUUCAACCACAAUUAAAGAGAAAAUUGCAACCAGGGUCUCAACCUCUUUUUUGUUCACAAAUUUUAGGGAAAAUUGCAGUCAAGGUACCAAACAUUUCGUUUAUUAGCAGACUUUGCCCAAACCUUUCAUUUGUGCCACAUCGAGUACCAAACUUUUAAAAAAUGUGCAGUUCAAGUCCAAAAUGAUGAUUUUCGUUAGUUUAACUACCAAAACCGUCAGUUGACCUCAAAAAUUAAAAAUCUGUUAAUUUUGACCAAGUAAGACAAGGGUAAGAUUGUAACUUAAUAAAGGUUUAUAUAAUUGGCUAUAUAUUAAUAAUUUAACAAUAAAAUAUAUAAAUAAAAAGAGAAGAUUAAAAGCACCCAAACCUCCUUGCACCAAAGUUGUCGCCGUCAAAACCCAAGUGAUUGACCGCCGCCACCAUCCAGGCCGUCGAACGCCACCACCACAUAGGUGAUUGAUUGCCAUGACUAUCCAGGCCAUCGGAAGUCAUCACCAUCACCACUACCACCCAAUAAAGAAAGAUUGAAAGAGUGACGGAUUUCUUUACUUCAUAUCUGAAAAUUGAAAUUAAUUUUGAAAUUAGAUUUGAUUUUGAGGUUUUUCUAUUAUUGUGGUAUAAAUGGUUGUUCUAGUGAAUGAAAGUGGCGGUAGCGGAGGUAGCAGCUUGAUGGUGACGACGACAUGAAUGUUCGAUUGCUUAAGAGGGCUGAAGGUUCAAUUUCUCUCUGAAUGCUCGAGUGAGUUGCUGCUUUUGAGGUGGGGUGAUGCCUAGUUUUGAGGAGGUGUUGGGCUGGAGGUUGUGGCUGUGAUGUGGAUGGUAAUGGGUGUGGCCGACGAAGAAUAUGGAUUUAGGUGAGAUUGAAGCAUAAUUUGAAUUGAGGUGGUGGUGGUGAUCGACGGGGGGUAGGUAAGUGGUGGAUGGCGAAUGAUAGUUCAUGCUAUCCUCGUAUCCAUUGUCAGUGGAUGGUGGAUGGUGUCAGCAUUAGGUGGGGUGAGGUGGAACUAUUUAGUGGUGGUGUUUUUGGGUUGAUAGUGGUGGCUGUCGAUGGUGGCUGUGGCGAUUGGGUGGCGUGAUUUUGAUUUUGGGGAAGAAGAUGGGUUGUAGCUUUAUUUUUUGUUUUUUUAAUUUUUGAUUUAUUAGAAAAAAUGUGUUUUAUCCAAAAUGCAUCUACCUUAUUUAGGGAAAAUAAUAAUUUUAUUUAUUUAUUUUGGGAGUCAACUGACGGUUUUGGUAGUCAAACUAUGAAAAUCGUCAGCUAAGACUUGAGCUGCACAUUUUUUAAAGGUUUGGUACUCGCGGUGGCACAAAUAAAAAGUUUGAACAAAAUCUGCUAAUAAACGAAAGGUUUGGUACCUUGGCUGCAAUUUUCCCUAAAUUUUAUCUUAAUCUUUAAUUUGUGUCACCCACAAUUCCAAACUUUUCAUUUUGUUGCAGGACAAGAAAAAAUGGAUGGAUUCCAUCAAUUUGACCGUUAGUUGAUCAAUAAAAUAUAUUUUGACCAAACUAUAAAGGGCAGAAUGAUAACUUCAUAUUUUUUUCACAUAAACAAUUUAAAUAAUUGAAAAAAAAAGAAAAAAAUAAAAGCGUCAUAUUCUCCCUACUCGACCUACCCCCUUAACCAAAAAUGGGAAAACUAUCCCCUGCUACCAACUUUUCAUCGAAUGCCAACUACCCACCACCACCGAUCAUGCCAUUGUCGAUCGCGCCACUAAAAACUACCUUUUUCAAUUGCCAUUACUAUUACUGUUGGCAUACAUGUUUUCUAGCGAACAUCAUAUCAAACUACCACUAUCCUUCGAUGGUUGUCCCAACCCAAAAACCUUCAUCACCUCAUCAACAACUAGCUCUAUUAAGAUUUGACCUUGUGCUACAACAAAACGAAAAGUUUGAGAUUAUGGCAGACAUAAAUGAAAGGUUUGGAUAAAGUCUGUGAAAAAAUUGUUUAAGACCGUGGAUAUAAUUCUCCCAUAAUCAAGGUUCGGAAAAAUAAAAUAACCAUAUUGCAUCUUACCUUUCAUAUAAAAGAAUCCACAAUUCAUAGAUAGUGAAAUAUUUCUUGCAACACCAUGUCCACAAAAUAAGCAGCCAUUAAGAUAUUCACCUCAUACAUUUCAUGAGUCAUAUUGAAUCAAGAAACUUGACAUAAUAUUCACGAAAGGCAUUUUGGAUUAUGCGUUCAUAUAAUAUAUUUUUUGUAGUAAAAUAUCCUUUUAUAGUCAAUAAAUUUUGUUUUUAUGUAUUGCUAUUAUCAUUGAGCAUGCCAAAAAGUGCAUGUGAUCACUUAUGAUAAUAUAAGUUGGGCACAUUCGUUGAGAAGUUCAAUGUGAGACAACUAAUAUUUUGAUCAUAAAUAUAUUGUUAACAACUAAUAUAUGAGAGUUGACACCUUGUACCGAAAGUUUGUAGUGUUGAUCAUUUUGCCAUUCAUGUAUUCAAUUUGUCUUUAUUGUAGAAAUGGUUUAAUGGUGACUAUAACACAUUUGGAAUGUAAUGAAUGGACCGCGUGUUGAAUUUAAAUAUAUAGAAAGACUGUGUGGAGAAUUAAAUAUCUCUUGAUCACCGAAUAUUCCUUCUAAAUUCCUUGAUAGGAUUGUGGAUAUGAUUUUGUGAGUUUGUUGAUUCUUGAUUCAUCAGUGGGUGAGAAUAAUUUGAAUGAUCAAUUAUUUCAGUGAGUUAGGAGCUUGAGAAAAAGAAAGUAGAGAACACGAGUUUGCGUUAAAAUCGUCACCUCGAUAUUGUGUGGAGUGACCGUUUAAGUAUUUUUUGCUAAAUGAUUAUAAAUCUUAAUUCAGCAUUUAACGAUAGCCAAACUUCGAAAUAUGUGAUUGCUUUACAUGACUGUUGAAGAAUUGGAUCUUGAAUGAUAAUGAAAUAUAUACAAUAGGUAAGAGAAAAAUACUGCACAUAUAUAUAUUUUAGCUUCUAUAAUUUCAUAUAUUUCAAGAGUGCAACAUUUUUGUCUUUAGUAGAAAAGGCAAAGAAUAUUAAUUAGAUUGAAUAGUAUAGGGUUGAACUAGACAUGAUCUAUAUAUAUAAGAUUUGGGGACUUCUUACAAUCAAACUAAUUAUGGCCUUAUUAGAAUUGGACAUGAAGUGAACUUUGUUUCCUAUACGUAGACUAAGAGAUGCCGAUUUUUACAAAGAAAAAAAUGACUGACAUUUUUAUGCUUUAGAGAAUUACGAAAAAAAAUGAUUUCUUGUAGUUUCUUGGUUCGAUUUAACCAAAAAGGUUCCACGCAUUGACGUAUCUUUACUUGGAGAAUAUCACAAAGACUUAAUAGUUGAGAGCACCAAAUUCUUGAAUUAAAAGCUAAAAGCUUGUAAAUUAAAGAACUGAAAGUUUGCUAUUCAUAUUCAAUUAAGAAAUCAAAUUUCAAUUUGUAUAAAUUCUAAAUCUGUGUUUCUUGAUUAUAAAAUACACCUAAACAUCUAGCAAAGAUUUUGUGUGACUGAAUUUAAGAUUUUUUUUUUAAUUAUUCUGACCAACUGUCGUUCCAGUUUUCAAUCAGAUGGACCAUUAAUCAAAAAGUAUUUGAGUCGCCAAAUCAUAUUUACAGUUGCAAACGGAAAAAAAUAUUUUGUCAAAUUUAUAUAUUUGUUAUUUAUCUUUCUUAUUAGAACUACGGAUGACAAAUAAAUUUUUUUAUUCUUUUCUAUUAAUUUUUUUGGUUGUCAUCAAGAACAAGAUAUGUUAAUUGAAAUAAGAUUGAGAGUAAAUAGGAAGAUUUUUUUUUCUUUUUUAAGAUAUAAGUGCUAAAAUUAAGGAUACUCAUUGUAAUUAUAACGUGGUGUAAUUAACAAAAAUUGUGAUUUUAAUGCAUAUAUAUCCUCAAGAUUAUAAGUUGGAAAAUAACUUAAUGCUUGAAUAUUAACAAUGAUGAAAUUAGGGGCGAACAUGAAGGAUAGCCUGGGGUCACUUGAUCCACCAACUUCUGGUCAAAUUCUUUUUUUUUUUUUUAACCACCAAUAUAUUUUAUAUGUUUUUGUCUUAAUUUUCGAAGUUAUUAUGAAAUGUCAAACGAAAUUAAAAUAUUACAUUUUUAAUAUCAUUUUGAUAUGCUCACGGUCUAGUUUUCUAUGUCAUUAAAAGCACACAAUACAGCCAACAUAUAGCAAAUGUUACGACUUGUCAAAUUAGGCUAUUCUAAACUAGUAUUUCGAGAAUUUCAAUAACAUGUUAACUUUAAAAAUUCUCCGACGAUCGUACGCUAGCCCAAUUCAUAAAUCACCUACGUCAUCUCGAAGCUCAAGAACUACAUUAUAAACACAUUGAAUGUCCAAGCAGAUAUCGAAAACAUUUAAACGUGUAUCAAAUUUGUGUCAUAAAAAGAGGCAUUUAACUCGUACUUUCUAUUUUCAAUUAUUUCACGAACAUUUAUUAUUUUUGCAUUAUAAAUUUGUCAAUAUAAUUUAUUUCAUUUUGUUAGAAAAUUUUACAUGGAAUAUGAUAUCAAAUUUUUUUGAAAUUUUACAAUACACCAUGUAAAUUUUCGAAUGUAAAAUUUCUCGCAAGUUUGAUUGUACCUCCUUAAUUUAAAAUGACCGUGUCCACCACUAAAUGGAAUUAGAAAGAUUAAAUAAGGGCAUAGUUGACCCAAAUAAAAGAAUAUAUAAAAACAAAAUUAGAAAUCAAAAGUUUCUUACAUAUCCACAUGAUUUAUAAAUAAAAUUACAUUAAUAACGCUAUAUUGUGUGUUAAUAUAGCUGCAGUCUCUCUCUCUCUCUCUCUCUCUCUCUCUAACACCGUUUAGGAUAUUGAUUAUCCCAUAGGCUAGUUAUCACAGAUGAUUCAUCGAAGAAAUACGAAUGAAACACCUAAACAACAAAGAGAUUUUUCUAAAAAUCAACUCAAUAUUAUUCAAAAUGCAGAAUGACGAAAAAAGCCCACAAGUCGGGCUAUAUAGAUGAAGAAUAACGAUAUUAUCGAAGUUUUACCAAAAAUAGCAAAAUCCCAAUAAUCAUACGAACAUAAACUACAUAAUAAAAGAAAUAACUUGCCAAAAACUUGGCUCAAAUUGGGUUCAUAAUCAUCUCAAAAUGACAAAUGAGAUAUUAUCAAAAAUGGAAAAAAAUAAAUAAAAAUGAAAAUUCGGAAGGGAAAAUAGCGUAUUUUGGUCUCGAAAACGUUACCCACCAAUUGUAGCUUGGUGACCAUAAUGUGCGCGUCGAAAAGAGUUUUUCGAAUUGGGGUCAUAAUUGCGAUUCUGGUAAUCCGUAGCAAAGUUAUGGUCAAAUUACCAAAAUGUGUUCAAAACUACCCCAACUAGGAAAAGAUCACGAUUAUUUGCCAUCUUUGUGCCAAUCUGCCAACUCAUGGUAUCUUAACGCCAUUAAUAUGCUAUCUGACAAAUCAGCAUCACUUGACUCGGAACCUCUUGCAUCACUCUCUCUCUCUCACGUUGAGCACAAUACAAACAAAAACACACAUUAUAAGCAACAUAUAUAUUUUGUAUGAAUUCAUUUGGUUCUUUUGAAUCUUGCUCAAGCAAGAUGAUAAAAAAUUAUCAUGACCAGUUCCUUUAGGUCAAGGAUCUAUAAGAAUUCACCUAUCCCAAUAUUAAAAAAUAAAACUGAUUUGAAUGAUCAUGCUUUAAUAGCUAAAUUGCCUAAAGCUGUGGGUCAUAAUUAUUAUGGAGAACUCGUAUGUCUAGAUGAUUUUUUAAAUAUAUUUUUGUAGUUAUUCUAGGUAUUAUUGCAUGUAAUGUAAAUUUGGCGGUUCUAGAACCAUCCACGGCUGGUGAAUUGGCAAAUCCAUUUGCAACCCCUUUGAAGAAUAUUAUUGAAAUGUUAUUUCUUUUUCAUUUUUCAAACACUUCGUAUAGUGCCCAAUAUUGGGUGUUCUUUUAAUGGUUUCAAUACUCGUAGGAUUAUUAACAUUACAUUUUUUAGAGAAUGUUAACAGAUUUCAAAAUCCAUUUUGUCGUCCAAUGGCUACAAUCAUCUUUUUAAUUGGCAUUGCAAUUGCUCUUUGGUUAGGUAUUGGUGAAAAAUUACCUUGAUAAAUCCCUAACUUUAGGUCUUUUUUUUUUUUUUUUUUGAAUUUGAUUCAAUUGUGAAAUAACACAAUGUGUGUAUCUAGGUAAUAUUUGAUUGAAAGCAAAUUCUCCCUAAAUAUAUCUAUUCAAUUUUGAAUUUCUUACGAAAAUAUAAAUUGUGCUAAAGAUUCAAAACUUAUUUUCAUUAUUAAAUGAAUGACAAAAAAAAUCAAACAGAUUUAGAACUUUCAUUUUGCUAAAUCAAUUGUGAUAUUUUUUUCUAGAAUGACAAAAAUAUGUACUAUAUCUUCUGGGUACAAAUAUUCAAUUUUCAUGAGAUCUUCUCAAUUGUUUUUCAAAAGAUCCAAUAAUGUGUGUGUGUGUGUGCGUGUGUGUGUGUAGGACCUUUUGAGGCAAUUAUCGAUCAUGUGAUAGAAUUUUGAUUGGUCAAUAAAAAUCGAUUUUGAUGCUAUUAUUAUUAUUAUUAUUAUUAUUAUUAUUAUUAUUAUUAUUAUUAUUAUUAUUAUUAUUAUUUUGAAUUUAUCCAAUUUAUCAUCAUCAUCAUCAUCAUCAUCAUCAUCAUCAUCAUCAUCAUUAUUAUUAUUAUUAUUAUUAUUUUGAAUUUAUCCAAUUUAUCAUUAAAGAUAAGAGGGGAUAGAGAAUCGUAUGUUGAUUGUCUUUUAAAGGUAAGUUUUUUCGUCCUUAUGAAAAAGGGAAUAAAUAAAUCAAUCAAAUUUCGACACUCUUCAUGAAGUGCGUCUUUCAGAGUUAAACUCUCAUUUGUCCAUAUUUCGAGAAACGAUAUCUCUUAUUUUUCAUUUCAUUUUUCAUAAGCUUGAAUAUUAUGAUUCACAUUUCAAAAAAGCAUGAACACAUCAUCUAUAGGAUAACUUCCAUCUAAAAAGUUAUGUGGCACUUUGAUAAGAUAACCUUUUCAUUCCAAUUUCCAAAAGAUUGAACAUUAUAAUUUGAAUUUCGAACAAGCAUGAACACAUCAUCUAUAUGAUAACUUCCAUCUUGAAAGUUAUGUGGCACUUUAAUAAGAUAUCUGCGAUUUAUCUCAAUUUGUAAGUCAAUAUACAAAUCAAUAGGCUCUAGGAGUGGGCACGGUUCGGAAUUCGGUCCAAUUCUUAAGGGAAUUGAACCGAAUACCAAUGGAAUCUUAGAAAUGGAACCAUUGGGAUCAUAGAACUGAUUCACCAAUAGGUUCCAAUUCGGUUCGGUUCGGUUCUUUAUAUUGAAAAAUUAUAAAAAUAAAGUAUAAAAUUACUUAUCAAUCGAAAAAAGACAAAAAAUAAAUUGUGAAACCAUUUAUUGUUGUUGUUGUUGUUGUUUUUUUUUUUUUUUGAAUUUUACAAUACAAAAAAUAAAUUGUGAAACCAUUUAUUGUUGUUGUUGUUGUUGUUUUUUUUUUUUUUUGAAUUUUACAAUACAAAAAAUCAAUUGAAUAAGUCAACAAAAAGAAAAAUUCAAUCCAUAGCUCAAAGUCAACGUAUAAAGGCGAAAAAAAAAUUAUUAAGCUCAACAUAAAUGGUAAAAACUCGAUUGAAAUAUAGUUUUUAAGUAAAUUUGUAUAACAUUAGCUCGAUUAUCUUUAGUAAUCCUCAAGGAUCUUGAUUCUUGAUGGUCGAUUACUUUGGAAACAACAAAAAAUGUCGAUGCUUAAUAUAUUGAACUGAAAAUAUAUUUUUCCUAUUGGGUUGCAUUAAAACUAGGACGUUGUAAGAUAUUUUAAAAAUUAUUUAGACUUGAAUUUUGAUUACCCAUUAAAGGAAAGAAGAAGAAGCAUAUGAAAAAUGAAAUUUUAACGUGAGAUAAUUUUGGGGUUUAAUAUUCAAACUGUUAGUGCAUUUUGGUACAAGCAACAAGAGAACUGCGAGAGAAAUGAAUUCACUACUAGUUCUCAAUACAGUAUUGAGAACCGGACCAGAACCAAUCAACUUUUGAUUCAUUGUCCCAAAAUUGACCCAUUUAAUAGAGGAAUAGAAACCAAACUCAUUGGUUCUAUUUAGUUUAGUCCAAUUCCACUGAUUCUGGAGAAAUGCUCACCCCUUCUAUGAAGAGUUCAUAAUAUUGUGUCUAUUUUUGAGAUUGAAAACUUCUAUCAUGACUUCUGCUCAUUGUAUACAAAAUCAAUUUGAACAAGGAUAAAUUUGAUCCGAUUUUAGGUGUGGUGUGCCCCCCCUUGUUUUGCUUCUUUCUCUAGGGUAUUAACAAACAUCCAUUUGAUCGUUCGUACUUUGAAAAUUUAUUAGUGAUUGAAUAAUUCAAGGAUUAUAAUUCUAAAGAAUGCUAAAUUAAAAAUCAAUAAGAGAAAUUAACAACCCUAGAAAUUUCCUUUUUUUGUUUGUUAUUUCAGCAGAAAGUACUACUUUUCAUCAUAAAAAUUCAGCCCAAUGCUUGUUUUUGCUAAAAAUCAAAUUUUUAGAAUUUUUUUUUCCAAAAAAUUUAAUUGAAUGCGUGGCUGAAAAAGUGAUGGAAAUUGUGAAUUUCAUAAAAUAUGUGCCUAAAUUAAUUAUUGAAUUUGAUUUAAAUUUUCAUUAAUUGAAAUAAGCAAGUGAAAUGGUCUGUAUGACAAUGGAGUUUGAGAAAACAAACACUACCAAAAAAAAAAAAAAAGCAAUUUGAAGAUCGAAUGUUUCGUUGCCGAAAUUAUUAUAUCUAUUGCUAGCAGAAUUAAUUGACUAAAAAUGAUCGAUCAUAGAUUCAUUGCUAUUUUAAGGAUCGAUAAUAGUUACUAACAAAAAAUCUAUUGGUAGAUGAUAAGACAUAAAAUGUCGUGUUUUAUAUCCACUAAUACUUGCAUUUUUGUGAUUAAUUAAUGUCUAAAUGUACUCAGUACCCUUAUAUUUUGGUUUAGGAUGUAAAUGGAUGGAAAAUAUGGAUUUGGAAGGAACGAAAAAUGUGCGAAAAUGAAGGAAUUCCAAAGUUUGGGAACUAGAGUGUAAACAUCCAAUAGUUGAUUCGGAUCACAAAAUGAUGAUUGAAGAUCAUAUGACAUCAAUUGGAUGCAAUUGGAGGUCAAAGGAAUGAAAUAAUGUUGAAACAUUUUCACAAAUCAAAUUCCAGUCGAAGAAGUUAUGCGCCGAAUUUUUAGCCUCAAUUUGAGAGACAUUUCUCGAGUAGCAAACAAUCGAAUUGGAAAAUUUGUAUUUCAGAAAGAAUUGUAUCUCUUUACGUCAUCUUUUCAAUGCAUUUUGAAUCAUCUCAAUCAGAAUUCGGAAGAGAAAGUUAUGAUCAAAACAUUGAGAGCUGUCUAGGGACGACGCGUGCAACACGGUGCGCGCGCACGGGCAAAAAAUGGGGCGCGCCCAGCACCUCUUUUUCUCCAACCUUAGAGCAAAGUCAUCCAAUGGUGUGCGCGCAAUGAAAUAUAUGGCGCACAAUCACCGGCCAAAUUUCUAUGACUGGCCAGUUUCCUUAUUCUGAUAAAAUUCUACAUGGAAAUAAUAUUUUUGAUAUAUUAUAUAUACCUAAAGACACCAGAACGAAGGAAACCUCCUUUCUGACCUAAAAAUCUUAUAUUCUACGUAUUAUUGAAGAAUGCACCCAUUCCCUUCUACUCUUUUUUGCUCUUAGAAUUGAUGAUGUACAACUAAUUUCUCUCUUGGUCGAAGGAUAUUGAAGCCUUGAAUUUGUUUUCAAUUGUGAGAUCCACCUAUUUUUCAUUGUUUAAUUUAUAUUUUUAGUAUUGAAUAUUCUUCUAUGCUUGAUUUCACAAUUUUUAUGUUUGAUUAUUGAAAGGAUCCAUUAGUUUAUCAUGCGUUUCAAUCGAUAGCUAAGUCAAAAUAUCAAAUCCGUAAUUGUUCGAUUAAUUUAACUUGUGAAGCAACUAGGGUUAGUAAUUUGCUGCUUUGGAAAAUUAUUAAAUUUUAGGAAGAAUAUUUAUCUAGGUUAAAUGCAAACCCUUGGCUUGUGUUAUCUAGUUCAUUGAUUUCUCUAAUUCGGAAAGCCAGUAUUAAAUUAAUUUCUCGCGCUUGUCUACGAUUGUUUGGUAAUGAGGAUUAAUUAGAUUGCUUAUUUCUAAUUAAUUAAAAGUAAGGAGAAAUGGAAAAUUGUUUCGAAUGGGAAAUUACUUUCCAACGUUGAAUACACAAUUAUUAGUGGAUCAAUGACCAAUUGUAUAUCUCCAACAGUGUAUAAUGACUUAGACCAUGGUACGUUCUAUUGAUUUCAUUUAUUUCGAUAAUUUGCGUUUACGUUAAUUGCUAUUUUUAAUAAUUGUUAAUUUCAAAACCAAAACCCCCAUUUUUAGUUAAUUUAGCAUAAAAGAUAGACUAAACACUCUUCGUGGGAUCAACCCUUACUUCCACUACUACAUUUGUUUUGAGGAGUAUAAGUUUUAAUUUGGAGUGCUUGCGACAGCACGCACCAAAUUUUGGUGUCGUUGUCAGGGGGUGAUUUAGUUAUUUUUGUGCUUUUUAUUUAUUUCAUUAGUUUUUGUUUAAAAAAAACGAUUUUGUUUAUUUUGUUAUUUUGUUCAGUUUAGUUUUUUUUCUUUCUUUUUGCUUCCUUGCUUGUUUAUACUCAUAACUCGAUCUUCUAACCAAGGUGAUUUGCAGUAUGAUCCAGAAAUAGAAAGAGCUUUGCGUAGGUUGAGGAUUGGCAUGGCUAGGAAUCAAACCUUGAAAGAGCUUGCAGCUUCGGAUUUGCAUCAACAACCCUUAUGCAUAACUUUCCCUAAUUUAGAUGCUAAUACUACUUUUGUAUUAAAAUCCGGGCUAAUAUAUCUAUUGCCCACUUUUCAUGGUCUUGCAGUUUAAGAUUCCUAUAAACAUUUGAAGGAAUUCCACGUGGUUUGCACACUCAUGAAACCUAAGGGGUAAUUGAGGAGCAAAUUAAACUGAGAGCCUUUCCGUUCUCUUUGAAAAAUUCAGUUAAAGACUGGCUCUACUAUCUACCAUCUGGAAUUGUCACAACAUGGAAUGAAAUGAAGAGGCUAUUUCUUAAAUAAAAAAAAAAAUUCCAGCCUUAAGGGCAGCAAAUAUUAGAAAAGAAAUUUGUAGAAUGAGACAGGAUAAUAGGGAAUCUCUACACGAAUAUUGGGAGCGUUUCAAGAAAUUGUGUGCAAGUUGCCCCCAUCAUUAAAUCAGUGAACAUCUUCUCAUCCAAUAUUUCUAUGAAGGCCUUCUACCCACGGAACGAAGUAUGGUUGAUACUGCAAGUGAAUGAGCUUUGGUGGAUAAAACUCCCGAGGCCGCGAGGAAUAUGAUUGCAAACAUGGCCGCCAACUCUCAACAAUUUGGCACUAGACUUGACAUUCCUUCUAGACAUGUUAAUGAGGUAAAUGUUUCAUCUCUUGAACAACAACUUGUGAGUCUAACUUCUCUUGUUCGUCAAAUGGCUGCAGGUAAUAUGAAAAUGGCGAAGGCAUGUGGAAUUUGCUCGGUGGCAGGACAUCCAACUGACAUGUGCUCAACUCUCCAAGAAGAUAAACAAGUUAAUGCAGUAGGUAGCUUUCCUGGACAACCACAAAGGAAUUAUAAUCCUUACUUGAACAUCUACAAUCCAGGAUGGAGGGAUCAUCCUAAUUUUAGCUAUGGAAAUCAACAAGUGAAUCAACGAAACUUCUACCAAUAUAGGCAGCCAUAUCUUCCUAGACAACAACAGGACCAAACUUCAAGUUCUGGUAUGUCUCUAGAGGAUAUUGUUAAGUCUUUGGCCACUAACACUUUAUAAUUUUAACAGGAAACAAAAAAAUUCCAAGAGGAGGCAAGGGCAAGUAUUAAAAGUUUGGAGAAUCAAAUGGGUCAAAUGGCAACUGCAAUCAACAAGCUAGAAGCACAAGGUUCGGGAAAAUUACCCUCUCAAACAAUGGUCAAUCCAAGGAAAAAUGUAAGUGCAAUCUUGUUGAGGAGUGGUAAGGAAGUUGAAAUUCCAAGGGCAGCCCCUGCAUUAUUGGAGUAGGAAAAGGAGAAAGAUGUUCUUGAAGAAAAGAGUGUUCCCAACUAUGAUGGCGUACCUAAGCGUAAGUCUCCACCCCUUUCUGAGUAUAAACCAAUGCCCCCUUUCCCCCAGGCUUUAGUAGAACCUAGGAAAGAUGAACAUAAUCAUGAACUUUAUGAAACUUUCUGUAAAUGUGAGUUAAACAUUCCAUUGUUGGAUAAUAUUAAACAAGUACCUUGUUAUGCUAAGUUCUUGAAGGAAUUGUGUACCCUUAAAAGAAAAUAGAAACUUAAAAGGUGUGAAGAGAUUAACGUAGGGGAAAAUGUUUUUGCAAUCAUUCAAAGAAAUCUCCCUACAAAGUGCAAAGAUCCAGGCAUGUUUAGUAUCCCUUGCACAAUAGGUAACACUAGGUUUGAAAAGGCUAUGUUAGACUGACGAGCUUCUAUUAGUUUCAUGCCAUACUCUGUAUACGCUUCUUUAAAACUUGGACUUUUGAAUGAAACUGGUGCCAUAAUUCAACUACCUGAUAAAUCUAAUGCCUAUCCUAAGGGUGUAGUUGAGGAUGUUCUCGUGAAAAUUAAUGAUUUGGUUUUUCCUACUGACUUCUAUGUGCUUGAUAUGGGAUAUAGUGAUCAAACUAUCCCCAUUUUGCUACGAAGACUAUUCUUAAGGACGUCCAAAGCUAAAAUAGAUUUUUAUAGUGGCAUGCUUACUAUGGAAUUUGAUAAAAAAAUUCAAUGAAUUUAACAUUUAUGAUGCCAUGAAAUAUCCUGAUGAAACUAACCCUGUUUAUUCUAUUCAAGUGAUUGAUAAUUUAGAAUAGAAAGUUUUAGAACUUGAUGAAAAUAAUGCAGUGAAAGUUGCCAUUGAUAAGCAUAUUGAGGAUGUGAAUCAGGAGUUACACUCGAAUACUGUCUUGCAUGAACCAUUGCAGCAUUGAAUGCUUUUCCAAAGUCACCGAAGUCAGGUAAAAGUUCGCAUAUUGUUUUGCCAAUUGCUAACGAGAUGCCUUUCUAUACAGGUUUUCAAAUGGAUGAAGUGAGAACAUGGAACCUUGGGAACCCAAUUGAUGUCGGUUGAGGAAGGAAGCAAUAAAUCUAGCCAAAGAUAAUAAACAAAAGCGCUGCUUGGGAGGUAACCCAAGGGGAGUUCGUUUCGUUAUCUUUUUAUAUUCAUAUGUUUGGUUAAUGUUAUCAUUUUCUUUGUAAUUUGCCUUACAUUGGGGACAAUGUAAGUUUUAAGUAUGGGGGAGGGAAUUUAAGUUGAGUCUGAAAUUUUCAGUUCGUAUUUUUUUUUUUGCAUUUAUUUUUGACUUUUUGAUAAGAUUUCAACAUAAGAGGGAGAAAACAAAGUGGUUUUGAACAAUUUUGAUUAUGUAUGCUAUUUGCUAGAUUCAAUUAAGCUUCUGAAGAAUUCAUAACAUGAUUGAAUAAAUAAUCUCUCAACUUAGAGUUAAUUAGUGUGGUUAUUUUCUUUGAGGAUGAUAGUAACUAGAUUUCGUAGACAAAAAGUCAGUGAGAUUUUGAGCCUUUAGACUGACACAUCCAUACCAGUCUCACUAUUUUUCUUUCAUGAGUGAUACUCUUCCAUGAACUUAUUUCUCUAGAACUUGCCUUGAUUCUCUUCGAGGUCACAUUGAUACAUGCAUGCAUGAACAUGAUUAAGGCCAUCUUUGUUGAUUAAGUUAUCACAUUAGCCAAAUAGCCUACCCUGUAAUUAAUUUUUCCCUUGUUGAACCCCUUUUAGCCUUAUAGCAUUUUCUUUUUUGAACCCAUGUUACAACCUUUAAGUCUAGAAAAAGAAUAUCUUUACCCAAGUCGUAAAGCUAGUGGAGUGUUGUUCUUCAUUUUGAUACAUAUGGAAGUGCGAAAGAAAUAAGUGUGGGGGUGUAUGAAUCUAUGGUAGGACUACGAUUGGUGUAAUGGAACAUAUUAUUCAAUUUCAAUUCAUAAGUUCCAUUAUUAGUGCAAUAUUUUGAGUUGAGCAAAAAAAAGAUGGGAUAAAAAAAAAGUUCUUCAUUUUGAUACAUAUGAGAGUGCGAAAGAAAUAAGUGUGGGGGUGUAUGAAUCUACGGUAGGACUACGAUUGGUGUAAUGGAACAUAUUAUUCAAUUUCAAUUCAUAAUUUCCAUUAUUAGUGCAAUAUUUUGAGUUGAGAAAAAAAAGAGGGGAUGAGAAAAAAAAAAGUGAUGGAAGAAAUGAUCUUCAAUGUUCGAAAAUUAUUCUAUGUUCGUAAUUCCUCCUAGUAUCACAAGAAAAUGAGUGGGUUGUGUGAAAUAGAUGCAAGGAAGUUUUGAAUGGAGAGAUUGAUCUUAUAUGCUUUAUAUAUACAUUUGAGCUUAGUUAAUUCAUCUUUACUCCACUAGUUCAAUGACCUCCACUAGUUCAAUGACUUUUGAGUCACUUAACCAAAUACUUCCCAUCUGGACCCUAAGCCACGUUACAACCCAUAGAAAAGACCUUAUAAUUUGUGUAAUGCACGUGAUCUAAUUGGUGGAGAAUCAGAAGAUAUGCAAGCAUAUGGUAGAUCAUGUUUAUUAGAAUGAACUUGAGUGAAACACUUACCCAUUAAUUACAUGAGAGUUGAAUGCUUAUAUUCCGUGAGGGUUUACAAGUUUGGCUUACUCCAUCUUUAUAUGAGAAUACUUUCUAAUUGAUUAUAAAUUGUGUGAGAAGGUUUAUCAUGAUGUGUUAUGUGUUUUAAAGAGUUCGAUUGUUUUAUGUUGAUUGCAUUACAAUUUUGAUAUUUUUGGAAAAAAUAAAAUUUGAGCUUACUCGAGGACGAGUAAAAGCUAAGUGUGGGGGAAUUUGAUAAGACAUAAAAUGUCGUAUUUUACAUUCAUUAAUACUUGUAUUUUUGUAAUUAAUUAAUGCCUAAAUGUACUCAGUACCCUUAUAUUUUGGUUUAGGUUGUAAAUAGAUGGAAAAUAUGGAUUUGGAAGAAAGGAACAAAAAAAUACAAAAAUGAAGGAAUUCCUAAGUUUGGGAACUAGAGUGUAAACAUCCAAUAGUAGAUUCGGAUCACAAAAUGAUGAUUGAAGAUCAUAUGAUAUCAAUUGGAUGCAAUUGGAGGUAAAAGGAAUGAAAUAAUGUUGAAACAUUUUCACAAAUCAAAUUCCAGUCGAAGAAGUUAUGCCCCGAAUUUUUAGCCUCAAUUUGAGAGACAUUUUUCCAGUAGCAAAAAAUUGAACUGGAAAAUUCGUAUUUCAGAAAGAAUUGUAGCUCUUUAAGUCAUCUUUCUAACGCACUUUGAAUCACCUCAAUUGGAGUUCGGAAGAGAAAGUUAUAAUCAAAUUAUCGAGAGCUGUCUAGGGACGACGUGUGUAACAUGGUGCGUGCGCACGGGCAAAAAAUGGCGCACGCAGCACCUCUUUUUCUCCAGCUCAAGAGCAAAGUCAUCCAAUGGUGCACUUUCAAUGAAAUAUAUGGCACGCAAGCACCAGCCAAAAUUUCUGUGACUGGUUAGUUUCCUUAUUCUGAUGAAACACUACUAAAAAAUAUGGUUUCAGGCACAGAUUUUUCUUUUCUAAAACCUUGAUAUCCGUUGCUAUUACUCUUUACCAACGGAAUAUUUGCAGCCACAAGUCCAUUCAUAAUUUGAGAGUCGCUGAUAGUUACUAACGGAUUGUGUAGUAAAUAAAGAUUAAACAUUUUACCAACAGAAAUUCCGUUGGUAAUGUGUGGAUUUUUUAUCAACGAAAUUUCCGCUGGUAAAAACCUUAACCAAUACCAACCGACUUUCCAUUGGUAAAUGUCUACCAUUACAAUUGGUAAAAAUCAAUGUUGUAAAUAGUCGUAUAGGUGUGAGGCAUGGUAAAAAAAAAUUAUUUACUUAUUUUUUUAUAAUUGUUAUUAUUAUUUAUUUAAUAAUUAUAAUUUUUUUUAAAACUUUUAAACAAUUGAAUUGAAAAGCCAAAAUAUUGUUUAACUACUUAUUGGACCACAAAUUUAUAGAGGACAACUCCAAAGACUUUAUCGUAAACUUCUGAUGUGGGAUAAUUGAAUUACUUUUAUCAAUGGAUAAUCCGUUUUUAAUUACCAACGGAAUAUCCGUAGGUGAAAGAUUCAAAUGUUAAACGGUCAUAUUAGGCACAGAAUAUCCGUUGGUAAAGAGAUAUUAUCAUUAUCAAGGGAAAAUUCGUUGCUGAUUAUCGUAGUUGAAAGUAAAUCACUUUUACCAACAGAUAACCCAUUUCUAAUUACCAACGGAUUGUUUCCGUUGGUAAUAUUUGGCACGUCACCUACGGAAUAUCCCUAGGUGAAAGAUGUAAAUGUUAAACGGUUACAUUAGGCACGGAAUAUCCGUUGAUAAAAGGAUAUUAUUGUUAUCCACGAAAAAUUCGUUGCUGAUUAUCAUAGUUGAAAGUGGAUUACUUUUACCAACGGAUAAUCCGUUUCUAAUUACCAACGAAUGCAUUGGUAAUUUUCCUUAGGUGAAAAACUGUUUUUUAGUAGUGAGAUUCUAUUAGGGUUGGCAACGGUUCGGUUAUGGGUCGGUUCGGCCAAAACCAUAACCGCACCACCAAUUUUUUGACCAUACCAUAAACGCACCAUAACCACGUAAAUCGGUUCGGUUCGUAUCUCGGUUCGGCACGAUUCGGUUUGGUUAAUAACUACGAAAAUAAAUUAUUUUUUAUAGGUUCACCCAUCAAAUUGAUAUAAAAUAAUUUAUGAAAAAAGUCAAUGAAAACAAAAAUACAAUAUUCCAAACGAAAAUACUAACAUUAUCAAACAAUAUUCCAAGGGAAAAUGCAAACAUUAUCCCAAUUUUCAAUUGUAAAAUAUAAAUUUAACAAACAAUAUUAUAAAUAUAACAAUACUAAAUUUUUCCUUCAUUCUUAAUUGUUGUGCAUCGAAGUUAUUUGAUUCAUUCUUCCCCACAAGUCUUACUAGUAUAUAUCAACACUCAAAGUUGAUUUCUAUAUAGUAAAUAAAAAUAUAAGUAGAGAAUACAAUGAUACUACCUAUUCUAGAAUGGUCUUAACUAAGAUUUAAAUAAAAAAUGAUGUACCUCUUCGCCAGCUUUCUUCUUACUAAACGUUGCACAAGCUCUAAAGUAUGAUGAAGAAGUAAAAUUUUUUACACACAAUAAAAAAAAUUAACAAUAAAAGGAGCCGUGCAUGAGUUUGUGAAGAGUAGGGUUUGCAUCUAUAUACUGUCAUACUAAUACUAUUAUUACGGGGUAAUGGUAAGUGGGUUGGCUGGCUGAGUCAUGUAGAUGUAAUGGAGGGGACGGUGUAAAUACCAUACCCGCACCGCACCGCCACGAACUGAUUCAUUAAAAUAAAAACCAUAUCCGCCCUAUUGCACCAUCGGUUCGAUUUUUUUGGCCCCAUUCGGUUCGGUUAACCGCAGUUUUCGAUUUUGACGGUUAAAAUUGCCAUCUCUAAAUUCUAUAUGGAAACAAUAUUUUUGAUAUCAUAUAUAUACCUAAAGACACCAGAAUGACCUUCUUUCUGACCUAAAAAUCUUAUAUUCUACGUAUUCUUGAAGAACACCCCCAUUCCUUUCUACUCUUUUUUGCUCUUAGAAUUGAUGAUGUACAACUAAUUUCUCUCUUGGUCGAAGGAUAUUGAAGCCUUGGAAUUAUUUUCAAUUGUGAGAUCCACCUAAUAUUCAUUGUUUAAUUUAUAUUUUUAGUAUUGAAUAUUCCUUCUAUGCUUGAUUUCAUGAUUGUUAUGUUUGAUUACUGAAAGGAUCCAUUAGUUUAUCAUGCGUUUCAAUCGAUAGCUAAGUAAAAUAUCAAAUCCAUAAUUGUUUGAUUAAUUUAUCUUGUGAAGUAACUAGGAUUAGUAAUUUGCUGCUUUGGAAAAUUAUUAAAUCUUAGAAAGAAUAUUUAUCUAGGUUAAAUGCAAACGUUUGGCUUGUGUUAUCUAGUUCAUUGAUUUCUCUAAUUCGGAAAGCCAUUAUUAAAUUAAAUUCUCGCGCUUGUCUACGAUUGUUUGGUAAUGAGGAUUAAUUAGAUUGCUUGUUUCUAAUUAAUUAAAAGUAAGGAGAAAUAGGAAAUUGUUUCAAAUGGGAAAUUAUUUUCCAACGAUGAAUACUAAAAGUAUGAAUUAAUAAUUAUUUGUGGAUCAAUGACCAAUUUUAAAAUCUCCAACGGUGGAUAUUGACUUAGACCAUGGUUCAUUUUAUUGAUUUCAUUUAAUUCGAUAAUUUGCGUUUACGUUUAUUGCUAUUUUUAACAAAUUUUUUUUUUCAAAACCAAAAACUCCCUUUUUAGUUAAUUUAGCAUAAAAGAUAGACUAUACACUCUUCGUGGGAUCGACCCUUACUUCCAUUACUACAUUUGUUUUGAGGAGUAUACAUUUUAAUUUGGAGUGCCUGCGGCAGCACGCACCAGUAGAAUUAUUGUCAUUUACAACAUAAAAUCCGUUUGUGAAAAUAUUUGUCAUUAUCAAUGGAUAUUCCUUUGACGAUACUAUUUGCUAUAACUAUUAUAAAAGAGNNNNNNNNNNNNNNNNNNNNNNNNNNNNNNNNNNNNNNNNNNNNNNNNNNNNNNNNNNNNNNNNNNNNNNNNNNNNNNNNNNNNNNNNNNNNNNNNNNNNNNNNNNNNNNNNNNNNNNNNNNNNNNNNNNNNNNNNNNNNNNNNNNNNNNNNNNNNNNNNNNNNNNNNNNNNNNNNNNNNNNNNNNNNNNNNNNNNNNNNNNNNNNNNNNNNNNNNNNNNNNNNNNNNNNNNNNNNNNNNNNNNNNNNNNNNNNNNNNNNNNNNNNNNNNNNNNNNNNNNNNNNNNNNNNNNNNNNNNNNNNNNNNNNNNNNNNNNNNNNNNNNNNNNNNNNNNNNNNNNNNNNNNNNNNNNNNNNNNNNNNNNNNNNNNNNNNNNNNNNNNNNNNNNNNNNNNNNNNNNNNNNNNNNNNNNNNNNNNNNNNNNNNNNNNNNNNNNNNNNNNNNNNNNNNNNNNNNNNNNNNNNNNNNNNNNNNNNNNNNNNNNNNNNNNNNNNNNNNNNNNNNNNNNNNNNNNNNNNNNNNNNNNNNNNNNNNNNNNNNNNNNNNNNNNNNNNNNNNNNNNNNNNNNNNNNNNNNNNNNNNNNNNNNNNNNNNNNNNNNNNNNNNNNNNNNNNNNNNNNNNNNNNNNNNNNNNNNNNNNNNNNNNNNNNNNNNNNNNNNNNNNNNNNNNNNNNNNNNNNNNNNNNNNNNNNNNNNNNNNNNNNNNNNNNNNNNNNNNNNNNNNNNNNNNNNNNNNNNNNNNNNNNNNNNNNNNNNNNNNNNNNNNNNNNNNNNNNNNNNNNNNNNNNNNNNNNNUGAAUAUUCUUUGUCUUCUUUUUUAUUUUUAUUUUUUUUAAUUAGAGUAUGUUAUGUAAAAUAGUUGUGGUGUAUUUAUAUUUCAAAUUGGUGUGAGCUUAAAAAAUGGUGGGGGUGCAUAGCUAUAUAUAAAUGUGGUUCCAUGCAUUUGCUCACAUGCAUCCUUUAGGCCCCCUUCUUGUCUGCAUUCGAAAACUUUAGAUAUGACAAAACCCAAUUAUAUUCCUAAGAUUUUCAUUUCCCAAAUCAUUAAUGAUCACACGUUUAGAUGAUAGUUGUUGAAUAAAAUGAAUUGAGUGGCUCACUUUGACACAAAAUUUGAUAUGACUGGUUUGUUAUAUCCAACAAUAGUUACUAAUGAAAAAUCCAUUGGUAAAACUAUUGUCAUUUUCAAUGUAAAAUUCGUUUGUCAAAGAUAUUUGUCAUUAUUAACGAAUAUUUCAUUGGCAAUAAUAUUUUCUAUUGACAUUAUAAUAAUAUUUGUCAUUAUCAAGAGAUAUUCCAUUGGCAAUAAUAUAAAGAGAGAGAGAGUAGUAUGUAUAUUCUUGUUCUUCUUUUUAUUUUUUUAAAAUAAAGUAGGCCUUGAUUUGUAAAAUAGUUGUGGUUUAUUUAUAUUUUAAUUGGCGUGAGCUUAAAAAAUGGUGAGUUGUAGCUAGAUCAAUUGUGCUAUAUAAACAGAUUCAAUGACAGGGAUUUAUACAUAAAUAUGCUUGGUAUUUUCUCAUUAGCAGUCAAAAAAAUUGAAGAAAAAACUGUCUGUCACUUCCUUCUUUGAAAAAAUAUAGUGGAAAUAUAGUCACCCUUUAUUUUAUUUUUUUAUACUUUUGAAACAAAUACACAAUUUCCAUGCAUUUGCUCACGCAUCCUUAGGCCCCUUUCUUGUCCGCAUUCAAAGACUUUAGAUAUGUUAAAAACCCAACUAUAUUCCUAAGAUUUUCAUUUCCCAAAUAACACAUCCAAAAGCUUUAAACGUUAGUCUUUCGGAAUUAGGAUGUUGGAAGUCUACGACAACUGGGAAAGGUUGAUUAGAGUCACGCUAUGGAAAGAGGAAUUUCGUGAACUUGCUCGUGCCCACUCGAGAAGUCCUAGCACCACCUCUUCUUCGUCGCAUUUCACUUUGAGUUCUCCUCUCCAUGAUUGAGGUGAAUUUAUUGUACUUUUUAGUUAUAAUAAAUCAAUUUAGGAUUGCAUAUUUUCGUUUGAGAUGAUUUUAGAGGUUAAAAUGGUCUAUCCAUCAUAAGAGGCGGUCAUGUUAGAUUCUAUUUUUUCACCUUGAAAACGAUGAAGAUUG